UUCCCUUCAAACUACUAGCAACAGCUGCAAUGGCAACAGGCAAUCCUUUACAUUCAUUGGAAAUUAAUCUUCCCAGAUUCUUUAAGGUAUCAGGGGUGUUUUUAGAUAUAAGUGCUUUAUUUUGGAAAAGAGUCCACGCUUCUUCAUCCGUUAAAAUUGGCAGGUAAAUCUUUCUUUGGCAAUCCAUUGAAGUACAAACUUCUUCUGAUCUAGUGGUAAUGAGAAUCUUGCAGACUGUAUGAUGUUCAGAGGAGGGAAUCCCAAUGCCACCAAAGUCAAGCUUCUCCCACACAUCAUCUAAAAUCAUAAGAAUGUUUUUCUCUUGGUUUAAUCUCAAGCACAAUCGUUGGGCCCUCUCCAUUACUUCAGUUUCUGGAAAUGUAUACUGCAGUGAACUUGCAAUUUUUUCUUGGAUCCUUCGAACUUCCACUGUACUAGAAAUAGGCACAAAAAGAACUUUUUCAAAACAAUGUUCUGCUUCUACUAACUUCAUAACCUCCAUUGCUAAUGUGGUUUUACCACACCCCCCCAUCCCAUACAAUCCAAUCAUGGCAACAUCAUUAUUUUUCACUGCUUCGAGCAGCUUCUCAUAUGUAGAUUGUCUACUCUCAAAAUUCAUGCAUUUUUCUGUGAGAAUAUGAAGGGUGCCUGAAGGAAGUGUAGCAAUGCGGUCAAAUGGCACAUAUUUUCUACCCUCUGCAAUGAACUUUUCAAGGUACACAUUUUUAUAUGCUAACUUUUUUCCUACACGAUAUUGCCAAAUCCAAUUUGGACAGUACCCAAAGCAACAGAAUUUUUUGGCUUUUGCCUCUUUCAACAACUGAUUCACAUUGUCUACGUCAUUAAUAGCAUCUUGCAACCACUUGUCAACAACUUCACUAGUCUUUCUUGUUUGUUUCUUGGCAUUUGUAACAAAUUUUUGGACACUGUCUUUCGUUACAAUCAAAUCGCGCUCUUCUUCUUCAAGUUUUUUUACGAAAUUGUUAAAAUCACAAGGAUAACGUAAUUGAUUUAAUGCGCCACAUACUAAAUCUCUUGAAACAGAAGAUGCAAAACCCAAGAGGCACUCCAUUAAUUUGUUCCACCAAAUGCACCUUUCUUUUAGCUGAACAAGAGAAGAUGAAUACUCUAUAGUGAGUUUUAUCAGUAUAUUUAGAUGUAUUAGAUAACAAAAAAAUUUAAGAUCAUUUGUUGCAUUACAUAUUGCAGUAUGGCACUUUUAUAGUAAAAUUACAUAAAAAAAAUUAUGAUGUUAUGUUUAGUAAUUAGAUUUAAUGUUUUAUAUCUUAAAUAAUGAAUUAUUGGACACACAAUAGAAAUAAAAAUAAAUCUAAUACUUUAAUGAUUAUUUUUAAAAGUUUAUGUGUGAUAAGAUUUUUUAAAUGUCCUUUUAAUGACUAAGAAAAUUUUAUCAAACAUAUUUAUUUUUAAAUAAUUUUUUUUAAUAAAUUCUUAUCCUCCAUCCAAAAAAAAUUAUAUUUAAACAUGUGCUUAAAUGACACCCAAGUAGAUCAAAAGAUUUGUUAAGUAGGAAAAAAAAAGUGAACGAGUAAAAAAUGUAUUUAACCAAAGCUUAAAAUAUGCAUUAUAUAUAAAGUUAAUAUUAUAUAUAUUUUGUAAGUUUAAUUUUAUUUAAAUUUAUACAAGCUCUUAGAUUAUAGCACUUUUUAUAAAAUUUGCAAAUAGUAGAAGAACAAAUGUUGGUAAUUCCUAAAAAAUUGUAAAUAUUCAAUAAAAUAAAAUAAAAUAAUCUAAAAGGGUACUUGAAAUUUAAUUAAGUCUAAAAUAAAUAAUUUUUUUUAGCUAAUUGCAUAUACUCAAUUACAUUGAGAUGAGUUAGACUUGGUACUUUAUGAGCUCUUCUCAAUUUAAACCAAGACUCGAGUGCUUUUAAAAUUCUACACAAACUUCUAUUGUUUUGAAAACGUUACAUUAUCACUGUUUCUUACAUCACACAUGCAAUUUCAUUAAAAACAGUUAAUAUAGGUAUAAUUCAAUUUCAUUAAAAACAGUUAAUAUAAGUAUAAUUUUUUAGAAUAUUAAAGAGUAUGAUUGUAUUUUACUCACCCAUUCAUUAUUCAUGAUUGGAUGUGAUUUUUAAUAAAUUUUUCCGAUGUAAAAAGUGCUUAUCUUAUACGUAUGUGGUCCGUAAUUGAUAAUGAAAUAUGAAAUAUAGAUUAUCAAUGUUUCUGCUCCGCAUUUUUAGUAAAUAUCAUUUUUAAAAGGGAAGAGAUAUAAAAAUAGGGUAUUAUAGUAGUUAAAAAUUAAUAUAAUAAAACUAAAAGUUGUAUUGUUUUAUGGAAACAUAUAUUAAUAUAUAAAAGAAUAGUUAUAAAAUUUAAAAGAUAUUACUAAAUACAUAUAUUUAUAUAUUUACCAAAUAAAUAAGAACAAAAAUACUUUCAAAAAUAGUGUAAGAAAAAGUAUCCGUCUUAUAUAUUAUCAAUGGAAAUAUAGAGACGGAUUAAUAUUAUUUUUUAUUACGAUAAAAAGAAAUAACUUUCUAAAAAUAAUUUAAAAUAUAUAUGAUAAUUAUUUUUAAGCAAAAGUAUCAUAUAAUUAUUUUUAGUAGAGAAACUAUGUACUUAUUAUUUACUAAAUAAAAUUAUAUUUAAUUUAUUAAAAGAUAAAUUAUCUAAUUAAAAAAUGACAAAAAAAAUAGUUAUAAAAAAUAUGUUCUGAUACAAAUUAUUAAUAAUAUUAAAUUAAUCAACCUUAAUAAUAAAAAAAGUGAUAAUAAAUAAAUAAUGACAAAAAAAUAAUAUUAAUAAUAUAAUAAAGAAUAAUAACAAUAAAAAAUUUACUUCUUUCUCUGUCCAUUUUGUUUCUCCAAAUCAACCUUUCUAGUUGUUUAUAUUCCCAGUUUUCACAGAUCUCAUAGUAUUUCUAAUACGAAUUAUUUUUUCAAAUCUCACAUAAAAAAACAGAUUAUAGUGUGUUUUCAUCCAUAAGAAGAAACAGAUCUAGUAGCCUGAGACUAAUUUGGAAGUGGAAAAAGAGGAAAGAUAGGUAAGGUUUGUACGUUACCUGCUUUCUUUAACUACGAUGUAGAGAGAGAUGAGAAAAAGAAGUGGUGAUCCAUGACUUCAGUACAAGAGACACUGAAACGUUAAGUUACUGCACAAACAUAAACACAAACACGUGAUCUACAGCUUCAAUUGAAAACGAAUCUAUUAGAAUUUGAAAACAAAGCAAAAGUUAACUUCACACUGAUUCAUACCUCCACAGAGAUGAAAGUACUCCAUUGCUUGAAUCGAUGAGAGAGUAAAAGAGACGCUGAAACAUUAAGUUACUGCACAAGCAUAAACACAAACACAUGAUCUACAACUUCAAUUGAAAAGGAAUCGAUUAGAAUUAAGUUAACUUCACAGUGAUUCAUACCUCCACAGAGAUUAAGAAUGAACGCACAGUUAUUCCAGCACAAGAGACGGUGAAAGGUUAAGUUACUGCAGAAACAUAAACACAAACACAUGAUCUACAGCUUCAAUGGAAAAGGAAUCGAUUAGAAAUUGAAAUGAAAGCAGAAGUUAAGCUCAGAGUGAUUGAAACCUGCAGAGAGAUGAAAGGAAUCCAUUGGUUGAAUGAAGAAGAGAGAAUAAGAGAGAAUCCUGCGAGAGAUGUGAAGAGUGACUAUUAGUCUUUUCUAUCGAUUAUUAUUAUUAUUAUCACCAUGUCCAUGAUUCAGGAAGAUGCAUCCACUUGCACUUUUAUAUCUUUUAAAACUCUUUCUGCUCUUUUUAUAUUAUAAUUAUUCUUAUCUUUUAUUAUUGCUGUGUGCAGUUUUUUUGUUAAUCAGCAGCAGUACAUUGCACACGGUAUUCACAAAACUUACCACUUAAACGGGGAAACAUCAUUCUGACAUAACAAUAAUUUAUUUAUUUAUUAAACAAUUUAAAAUUUAUUUAACCACCGAGUUGUACCAGCCUAAUUAAAGUUAAGAAGAUUAUUGUAAUUUUUUAAAUAAUUUUUACUUUUAUUUAGUAUGNNNNNNNNNNNNNNNNNNNNNNNNNNNNNNNNNNNNNNNNNNNNNNNNNNNNNNNNNNNNNNNNNNNNNNNNNNNNNNNNNNNNNNNNNNNNNNNNNNNNUCUCACCAAGACUUCUUACACAAUAAUAAAUAAGAUAACAAAUAUAUAAUAGAACAAUCAAUAUUAAAGUAAAUUGAAAGUAUUUGAUACUAUGAAAAUAUUGAAGCAUACACUACCAUCAAGAAACAAAAGAAUGAACAAUAUAGUGUAGUUGCAAGUCUUCCUUUUGAGUGAUGAAGAGUUUGAUCCUUAAUAAUAGUGAACAAUGAAAACUCUCAUGAGGAAUUUCUGGCAACCAUUCGAUUGUACUCAUAUUGACUACAUAGAAGCGACCAUUUAUAAGCCAUCUCAAACAAUUUUUGUUGAACUUUUCUUUGAUCUUCCACCAUUUGAGAAUUAUCUUUCCUCACAUUUUCAGGCUCCAUUUUGUACCUAAUAGUUUCCGCAAUGCAUUUAUGUUUUUCCUCCUCCAGAGAUGAUAAGGCAUCCUCACAAACUUUUAUUUCUUCCUUCAACCUAAUGAUUUGUUCCUUUAAAACUACUUUCUUCAGUUGAGCUUCACCAUAAAAAUUCUUUGCCUCAGAAAUCUUGGAACCAAGAGAAAUGGCCACCUCCUUUUCACGAGCUUCAAAUUUUGCCAACUUCUCAGUGGUAGCAAAGCCUUGCUUAAAGGAGCAUAUAAUGCUUGGGAACUCUUGCUGCAUAAUGCCUAUAACAUCUUUGAGUCCAUCUGAUAGAGUUACAUCUUUGAAAGGAAGGUUGGACAAGAAAUUAAGAACUGACAAAAGGCGAAUGUUGUUAGUCUCAGAGCUAACUAUGUCCUUCAAAGACAUCUUUAGAUACUUUUCCAACUCAACAAGGAUCUUUCCAACUAUGUUGUCUUCACCCUCUUUCCCCCCAACAACUGGUUCAAAUAAACUCAUGAUACCAUUGGCCCCAAAGUCUUGAAUAAUUUUAGGAUGACCUUCACUUUCUUUAGUAGUGCGUGCCUCAGUUUGACUUCUCCUAAUUUCACUCUUGGAGGAAUAAGAAGAAAAUAUAAUAGAAAAGUCGUUAGAACUAAGUCAUUGAGUUCCUUAAACCAUUUUUUAUCAAAGCAAAACAUAUUUGUAGGAGUGAUGGUAACAAAUUCAUUAAAUUUAAAUUUCAACUUGGAAUUCAGUACUUUUUGUUUUUUAAUUCCAAUCUUGCGGAAAAUGAUAAAUUGAAAUGGCAACAUCAUUUUUAUGCUGACCAAAUAUGUUGGAAAUAUGAAUUGCAUAAAAUAAACUUACAUGUGGAUGUGAUUUAGUUUGCAAAGUAAAUAUUUGGUCCAACUGUGAGUCAAUGGAUUCAGAAUUAAUUAACGAAGUUGCCAUAUUGGUGUUCUUUGCUAUGGUUUCCCCAACAUCAACUCGCUCAAUAAUACUCUGCACAAGAACAAAAAAAUAUGUAGUUUUGGUGUAUGCAGUUUUAUUUUGAAAAUGACAACAUGUGUGCCAAUAAAAUGCCUCGAUUUUAUUUUGUUUGACAUUUACCUGAGGAGCUUUGGGGCUACUUACAAUUUCUCCUAGUGGCUUUUGUUGGUUCAUCCAACACGGUUCACUAAUCCGUUGUUUGUCCACCAAUGCCUAAACAAAGUAAUGAAUAAGUGUAAAAUCAUUGUAGACUCAAUACUAUUAUUUCAUCCAAUACUCGAAAAAUAUUUUUAGACUCACAUUUGAGUGUGUUUCACGUAGAGGUAUAUUCAAGUAACUUGGACUUGGCCUUUCAACUGGUUGCGAGUUUGUUAAUGAUGUUGUUGUUCUUGGUAUUUCUGAAGUGGAAACUUUUGCAACAAAUUCCUUCUCUGGUUCUUCAUUUCUCGCAGUCACAAUGCGGUCAUUAGAAACAACAACUAUUUCACCUUCUUUGUCAACCAAAUUAGAACCUUUUUCGAAGUCACUAUUAACAUUCUGGGUCUUCACACUUGAAGAAGUUCUUUUGCAGUUUUCAUUAGGCCCAUCACCAUGUUCAAUAGUCUGGGAAUCUUGUACCAUCUCCACAAUACUAGACCUGUGUAAGAAACUUAAAUUUUUUUCUUUAUGCAUCCCAAAGAACAAAAAACUAAGAAAUAGAUGGUAUCAAUCUUGUAAGGAUUGCAGAUACAACCACAAUGUAUAUAAAAACAGAAACAGAAACAACCAAAACAUAGAGAUAUAACUUCCAAUUCACGAAAAACUAAUGCAUUUUAUCUGGGCAUCAACAAAGUCAUUUAAGACUCUUAAUUUCAUUCGUUCUUUACAUUACUUUGUAAAGAAGUUAAAUGAACAUACCUCUUAGGAUUCUCAUCCAUUUGUCUCUGUGCAAUUUCCUCUCUUAGCUUAGGAUCCCUGACCAUAACACGUUGACGCAUUUCAUCUACCCAUGAACUCUCAAAUCCAAUCUCAACAGCUUCUUCACAUAGUUUAAGGAAAUAUUUUUCUUUUUGAGGAAUAACACAAUUGCCACUUUCCUUUUGUAGGAACAAUAACAUAUCUGCCAAAAUUUUCAACCUCCAAGCUUGAAAGCGCUCACUGAACUUCUCGCUAGCAUUCCAAAGAUGAGGAUAUGUUGUUAUUGCCUCCACCAGAAGAGCAAUUUGUGCAUCAUCCAUAUCAACAAAAUGUUUAUAUGCUCCCAAUCUUGCACGAAUAUCUGCAGAAGCUGUAAAAAGUUUGAGAGGGUGAUAUGAAAAUAUAGGAUGGAAACGAGAAAAUAAGAAAUAAAAAACCUGGAGAAAUGUGAAUGUUGUUGUUAGAAAUAUGUAUUUCCUCUUGUUCAUCUAACAGAUUCAAUCCUGUCAUGCCUUCAUUCAUCUUACCAUCUUGUUCAACAACCUUGGAUACUUGUGCAAGUAUGUCCAUGCCACCAGACUCAAUGUGAGUUGCAACACCACCUCCAGUACUAAUGUCUUCAACACCACUUGACAAAGGUUUUGUCUUAUCACCCUCUUUUGCAGGCCCCUCUUCAAUGCUUUUAUUUCCUACAUUCCCAAUCUCCUGUGUAUCACAAAUUGAAAAAAUACUAUUGAGUUAGAGACUCUUAAGUUUGAAAGGACCUCAAUUUUUAAUGUACAUCAUGUGGUUGUAUGAUAGUAGUUGUGGUUGUAUGAUAGUAGUUUAAGCGAGUUGUAGUGGUUUUGUUUUCUUCAAGUGCAUGUUGAUCUUAGUAUCACAAAAUUCAUUUCUAGGUUUAGGAGUUAUUACACUUAUGUGCUAAGCUAUUUUAAGUAGAGAAGUUGCCAAACAAAUAAGAGGUGGGCUUUAAAAUUCUAAACAAGUACACUUUUUUCAAUAAAUGUUGUGAGUUUCAAGAAUAGAGUUUACAAUGAUAAAGCUAAGAUUGGUAAGGUAACUUUCCUUUUGAUUAUACUUCCUUCUUCUUCAUAUUUUAGUUUACUAAUUUCAAUGAAGUUAUCUAAUGUUGUUCCUUCUUCGACACCACUCAAAUUCUGCAAUCUGCUAAAGUAUGUUAAGUCAUUCACUUUCUCUAAUAUUUAGAAGAGUUUAUUGUAUGCAAACCUGUGAGUUAUGCUCUGAAUCCCUUUCCAAUACCUCUGAACCAGGAUCUUCCUCAAAAAAUUCCAUCAUUGAGGAAUAUAUUUUUUUUAAUUGUUGGUAGAAAUAUAUAUAAUUUUAAGAUAAAAAUAUAUUCUUUUUAUUUUUGUGACUCGUGGUCUUAUUUAUGAUCUGAAGUCUUAUUUUUUUUCUACCAUGUGAGUUAAAAUUGAAAACAAUUCUCCUAAUAAUAAGACAACAAUGUUAUUAAACAUUCAUUGAUUGGUUGGUUCUGACCUGUGAUGAAGUGAACUCACUGCUAUCAUAAUCUUCAUCUAAACAUCGCAUGAAGUCAUAUACGUCAAAAAGAUUAGUGUUUAUGAAAUCUGUAACAAAAAUAAAAUAAUAUAUAUAUAUAUAUAUAUAUAUAUAUAUAUUAGAGAAUUCAUGUGACAAUGAAACACAUAACAAAAAUGAAAUACAACCUCAACUUUCCAUGAUGCAUCACUACAAUUAAAAAUAAAAAAUAAUUUAAAAAGUUAAUUUGUAAAUAUAUUUUCUUUAGGUGAAAUAGAGGGAUUUAAUUGUGGAUUAACAGGUUUAAUUGUGGAUUGUGGAGUUUGGAUUUAACAAGCGGAUUCAAAACAUUUAGCAGUAACAGUACACUAAUGCUAAAUAAGAUAUAUAGAUUAAAUUAAAUAGGUGUAACUCAUAUAAAUUGAUUCAAACAUAAGUUAUUAAUGUGAAAAUAACUAAAAGUUAGUUUCUUUAAAUAAUUUGAGUCUAAUAAAAUUGUAUUACAUUUAAUUUCAAAGUCGUAAACCUCUUUUUUGACUUGAGAGUUAGCACUAGCAUUUACUCAUAAAAUCUUCUAACAACAUUUUAUAUUUGAAGACUUUGUAUAGUAUUUACCUUCAAAAGGAAAAUUUUCUCUGAGCUCCCCAAGAGUAGUUGUUGAAAUCAAGGAGAGUUUUGGACAUUUGUAGAUAAAACAAUUCUUUAAAUUCGGCAAUUCAGUCUCUUGGCCAAGGCUUGAAAGAUGUGUAAAUAUUAAAAGUUUGAGUCUUGGAAGCUCAAGUUUUGUCUUUCCCAACUCGUCACCUUUUCCUUGUCCACAUCCAACAAACUCUUCUAGUUCAGAGGCUCCACUUAUGAUCAAAAGAUGAAGAUUGGGAAGGUCAAUAGAUGCAGAUCCAAAGGUACAUUUUUUCAGCUUGUGGCAAUGUCCAACAUACAAUGCUUCUAGUUUUGGGAAGCAUGGCUGAGGAGAAACAAGAUUAGACCAUUUUUUAUCCUCCACAUCCUCUUUAAUGAUUUCUCUUAAUUCUUCACAUUUUCUUAUCUUCACAAUAAUCAACUCUGGUAGGCAUCUCAAAACAUACUUUGGAAAGAUUACUUCCAAUUUUGCACAUCCAAUUAUCUCUAAUCUUUGAAGAUUUGAGAAGGUAAAAGAAUUCUUUGAAGAUUCUUGUUCACAUCCAACAAUCUGCUUCAAUUCCGUGCAUUCUUUUAUGAUUAGGCCUUUCAACUUUUGUAAGCUUCUUAAAACAGAGGGAGGAAAGAUUACUUCCAAUUUUGCACAUCCCAAUAUUUCUAAUAUUUCAAGAUUUGGGAAGAUAAAAGAAUUAUUUGAAGCUUCUAUUUCACAUCCAAUAAUCUGCUUCAAUUCCAUGCAUUCUUUUAUGAUUAUGAUUUUCAACUUUUGUAAGCUUCUUAAAACAGACGGAGGAAAGAGUACUUCCAAUUUUGCACAUCCCAUUAUUUCUAAUAUUUCAAGAUUUGAGAAGGUAAAAGAAUUAUUUGAAGCUUCUAUUUCACAUCCAAUAAUCUGCUUCAAUUCCAUACAUUCUUUUAUGAUUAGGCUUUUCAACUUUUGUAAGUUUCUUAAAACAGACAAAGGAAAGAUUACUUCCAAUUUUUCACAUCCCAUUAUUUCUAAUUUUUCAAGAUUUGAGAAGGUAAAAUAAUUAUUUGAAGCUUCUAUUUCACAUCCAAUAAUCUGCUUCAAUUCCAUGCAUUCUUUUAUGAAUAGGCUUUUCAACUUUUGUAAGCUUCUUAAAACAAACGGAGGAAAAAUUACUUCCAAUUUUGCACAUCCCAUUAUUUCUAAUGUAGUAAGAUGUUGGAGAUUAACUGAAAUCUUAGAAGCCACCCAAAUAUAAGUCAUCUGAGGUAGAUUUUCCAACCACAAUUCCUCUAACCUUAAACUCACUUGUUGCCCAAUCAUUUCAUGUCCAUUAAGAAAAAAAAUACCUUCUACUUCACAAUUCCUUACGGAUAGCGUUUGCAAACUGAGGAAAUGGUUCUGAACCCCUUUUGGAUCCUGCAAGACAUUCAUAGGAAAUGCAAAAAAAAAUCUAAAAACAAAAUAAAAAGGAACAAAUAACUAAUAAUCAUAAAAAUAAAGACAAGCUACCUUCUUACUUACGCUGAUAGGUUCUCUUGAAUUGGUAGGAGCCGUCAGACAAUUAAUAGAAUUAUAAAAUGGAUAGGAACAUUCAGAACACUUAAACCUCUUCAAAGAUGGCCACGUCACACUGAAAGUGUUGGUAGUACAAAUGCUAACAAAAUUUGGUAGUUUAUAAAGAGAGAGCAUUUCCAAUGAUGAGAAAUGAAUAUGAAUCUCCUCACAAUCCUGAUUAGUUACGGGAUAUUGACCAAGCAUAUAUUUCAAUUGGCCACAAUCACUCACCUUAAGCUCUCUUAAGUUCGGGAAGAUUGCAUUCAAAUUCUCUUUGCCAUAUUCAUCCUCAGUGUCUAUAAUGUGCUCAAGUCCGUGACAUUCCUCAAUUGUCAAGAUUUCCAACAUCAAUAAUGAAGCAAUGGACCAUUUAAAAAGGUACUUUACCUUAUCAAAGCCUUUCAGUUCAAUCUCUCUUAUGUUAUGCAUAAUAAGCAAGGUCAAACCAUGUGGUUGUUUUGAAAGAUACUGAACACUUUCAAUUGGGGGAACAAAAUCUGAGUUCCAUAUCUGCAAUAUAUACACCAAGUUACUUGUUAAAUCAAACUAAUUAGUAUCUUAACUUUAAUUAUUAAUGUAUUUCAUUUCUAACAUACUAUUUGUGAAAAUUAAAAUUUUAAGAUAUACCACUCAUUGUGUAGAUUCACUUGUUUGUUUAUGAAAAUAAAUUAUUUUUGUUUAACACAAUAAGAGAAAGUUGAAAAGAGAAUAAUUUCACAAAAGUAAUAUACUACAAAUAAUCUAUCCUAAUACUUAGAUAUUAAAAAUUCAUGUUGCACCUUUGGUAUAGUGCUUGUAAGACCAUUUUUUAUUUUUAGCACAAACAUGAUUGUGCAAUUCAAAUGUUUAGAGUAAUUUUUGUAAAUACAAGACGAAAGAGAAAAAGUAAGUUAUGAUAAUCAUACCUUGAUUGCAAUAUAAUCCUCUUGUCUAGCUUUCAAAGCAUCCGUUGAACAAUUUAUUGUGGAAAAUUCAACACAUCUCCCAAUAGCCAAUGAUAGUUCUCCCAAGGAUGGACAUUUUACAUGAUAAUUGUCUAGAAUAGUGUUAUCCAUGAUACGAUCAAGUGUGAGUACUUUUAAAGCAAGAAGCUCAAUUUGAGUAUUAUUUUGUUGCAAUAAGUCACAUUCACUGAUGUAUAGCUUUUUCAAUCUCUGGAAGGUUGAAAUAUCACUCUGAAACUCAUAGCCAUCCUUGACAAUGUUUUCCUUCUGUUGAUUGACCCUUUCAUGAGUUACUAUAUGCUUCAAACUAUUGCACCUUUUUAUGAUCAAUUUUUCCAGAGAAGUCAAGGUCUUAGCUAUAGAUGCUGUAAAAAUUGAGCCUAACUUCGGACAAUCUUUUAUGCUAAGGAUUGCAAGGCUGGAUAAAGUUCCUGGCAACAAAUUACAAAAAAGAAAAAUAUCGUUCAACACAUUAGAGGACAUUAUAUAUAUGUUACGUGUGCAAGUUACAUUCUGAUUUUAACAACAUUGGUUUCUAGGGACUAAACCACAAUCCUAAGCAUCAAACGAUCGGUUAAUAGUGAUGAAAAGAAUCAUACAAAAUAAUUUUCUUUAAAUAAUUCUAAAUUGUCUAAAAAGUUUAAAAUGAAAAUAUAAUUGUCUUUAAUUUUGACUGGAGACAAAUUUUGCUGCUAGUGUAUUAACAAGUAGUUGGUUCAAGUAAAACUAGAUUAGUAAUGUCUUGAGUUUGAACCUUGUGAAUAAAAAAUAACAGAUUAGCAGUUUUGAUGUAACUAACUAAGCAAUAACAUGUAGAUUUCCUAAUACACUCUUAAACAUAUUUAGAAAUGCAAAAGGAAAAAUGUACCUGGGCUAUUAUUCAUAGUUGUUGUUGAUGAAAUUGAAGUGUUAUACGAAUGUGGAUGCUUACCUUCCUCAACGGUUUCAACAAGUUCUUUUUUUUUAUCCCGGGACGCUAAUGGAUCAAUAUCCCCAAAUAUUUGAUCUAACAUGUUGCAUUCUUUUAUCUUGAGCACUUUCAAUUGAGCUAAGCCUCUUACAACACUGGUCGAGAAUAUAUCUUUUAAUUCUCUACAUCCAUUUACCUUUACUUCCUGAAGAUUCUGGAAUAUUUGUACAGGAUGCCCAGUGGUGAAUUCACCUUGACUUUUCUUCAUUUUGUCAUCAUCUGCUAAUAUAUGCUUCAGUCCAUCACAUUUUGUUAUUUCUAAUGUUUUCAAUUGUACCAAACAUCGAGCAACGACAUACGUGAAGAGAGAUGUCAACUGUGGACAAUCACUCAAAUACAGCUCCUCUAAGUUCUCAAAAGGCCCAUUGGCAGGUUGAAAACAAUGCCAUAAAGCUCUUAGAUUUUCCAUGUUAUGCAUUCUCAAUGUAUGCAACUUACAGAAGGGAGUUACCACCUCACUCAAAUGGUUACUAGUUUCAAUCAAACACUCUAUCUCUUUAGAAUUACGUAUAUGAAAAUUAAUCAGCUCAUCCAAACCUCCUCCUUCAAUUUGAAAUAUAUCAGGCAUGAUAUUUUUUGCGCCUUCCUGAAUAUUUGCUACAAAUAGAACUGUUGCUUUUUUUGCCAGACCCUUAAUUACCUCAUUUGAUAUGUGAAAAUGGUUAAGUAAUAGAGUUCUGGGACGAGAUUGAAAAUAAAUAUAAUCAUCAAAAUUAUGGGAUCCUAAUACAAUUUCAUACCCUUGUAGUGUUUGGGGGACACUAAACGUGUUAAAGAAUUCAAUAUUAUCUUCACUGUUAGCAUCCCAUUCUCCUUUAAUAUCAAUAAUGUACAACUCUUCUAGUAGUGGGCUUCUUUUGAUCACUUCAAACUUCUUCCCUUUAAUGUCACAUAGGUACAACCCUAACAUUUUUAAGGUUGUUACUUGUGUAAUUGCAACAUCGGUUUGUAAUUCAAGAAAUGAAGGCAAUGAACAACAAUUCAACGAAAGACUUUGAAGUUUCUUCAUAUCGCUUACAAAUGAGAAGCCACUCAAUUCAUAAUUAGAAAUAACUAGACAAUGAAGAUUUGUUAAUGUUUUUAAAGACAUUGUUGAAAAUGGUCUUAUUUUAACUUUAUCAUUGAAUAGAAUCAAAACUUUGAGCAUUCUCAUUCCUUUGAAAAUUCCAUCCGAUUCUUCUAGUUUUGUCUUUAAGCAUAAAAACUCAAGAUUGGAACAAUCCAAAUCAUUUGGAAAUUUCACACACCAUAGGUAUGUUACUGAAUUUUGUUCGACAAUCACAUCUUUUUUCUCUUCGCACUUGAUGAUUAUUUUCUCAUCCUUUGCUAUCAAGUGGGCCACAUCGCGAACUAUGUCAUGCAUUUUGACACCUCCAUUCUUUUCAUCCAACAAUAAACAAGAACUAACAAGCUUAAUUUUGGUUGCAAUCACUUCACUCUUUGCCUCCACAUAUGAGUGUGCUUCUCCAACUACACCUAACCCUAUUGCACAUCUUGUUAAAAUUUCAACUGGAAUUUCAAAAUCUUCAGGGAACACAGAACACAACAAAAAAAGUGAUUUAGCUUCUUCAGUAUCCAAAUUAUCAUAGCUCAACUGCAAGCACUUGUAGGGAUCAGGCAAACCUCCUUCAAUAUGUAUUGGCUUCGAACUACUCAAUUUAUUCAAUGCAACACUCCAUAUCGUCUCGACUUUUCCCUUCAAACUACUAGCAACAGCUGCAAUGGCAACUGGCAAUCCUUUACAUUCAUUAGAAAUUAAUCUUCCCAUAUGCUUUAUGGUAUCAGGGGUGCCUUUAGAUAUAAGUGCUUUAUUUUGGAAAAGAGUCCAGGCUUCUUCAUCUGUUAAAAUUGGCAAGUAAAUCUUUCUUUGACAAUCCAUUGAAGUACAAACAUCUUCGGAUCUAGUGGUAAUGAGAAUCUUGAAGCCUUUAUGGUGUUCAGAGGAGGGAAUCCCAAUGGCACCAAAGUCAAGCUUCUCCCACACAUCAUCUAGAAUCACAAGAAUUUUUUUCUCCUGAGUUAAUCUCAAGCACAAUUGUUGGGCUCUCUCCAUUACUUUAGUUUCUGGAGAAAAUGUAUAUUGCAGUGAACUUGCAAUAUUUUCUUGGAUCCUUCGAACUUCCACUAUACUUGAAAUAGGCACAAAAAGAACUUUGUCAAAAAGAUGUUCCGCUUCUACUGAUUUCCUAACUUCCAUUGCUAAUGUGGUUUUACCACAACCCCCCAUCCCGUACAAUCCAAUCAUGGAAACAUCUUUAUUUUUCACUGCUUCCAGUAGUUGCUCAUAUGCAGAUUGUCUACUUUCAAAGUUCAUGCAUUUUUCUAAGAGAAUAUCAAGGGUUCCUGAAGGAAGUGUAGCAAUGCGCUCAAAUGGCACAUAUUUUCUACCUUCUUCAAUGAACUUUUCAAGGUACACAAUUUUAUUUGCUAACUUUUUUCCUACCCGAUAUCGCCAAAUCCAAUUUGGACAGUGACCAAAGCAACAUAUUUUUUUGGUUUUUGCCUCUUUCAACAACUUAUUCACAUUGUCUACGUCACUGAUAGCAUCUUGCAACCACUUUUCAACCACUUCACUAGUCUUUCUCAUUUGUCUCUCGGCAUUUACAAUAAAUUUUUGGACACUAUCUCUUGUUACAAUCAAAACACCCUCUUCUUCUUCAAGCUUUUUAAUGAAAUUGUUAAAGUAGUAAGGAUAACGCAAUUGAUUUAAUGCUGCACACACUAAAUCUCUUGAAACAGAAGAUGCAAAACCCAAGAGACACUCCAUCAAUCUAUUCCACCAAAUACAACUUUCUUUAACCUGAAAAAAUAGAAAAUGAACACGCUCUAUAUAAUUUUUAUAAUUAUAUUUAGAUAUAUUAGAGAAAAACUUAUUUAAGAUCAUUUCUUACAUCUUCUAGUACAUCAUUUUUAUUGUGAAAUUACAUAAAAAAAGGUUAUGUGUUAUUUUUUGAAUUAGAUUUAAUGUUUUUAUCUUAAAUAGCCAAUUAUUGGAUACACAAUAAAAAUAUAAAAAAAAUCUAAUAACUUGAAUGAUUAGUUUUAAAAGUUUAUGUGUAAUAAGAUUUUUUAAAUGUCCUUUUCAUCACUUACUACAAGAAAAUCAUGAAAUAGAAAUUAAUUUUUAGUGACAAAAAUAAUUAGUUGUUAUAGUGACUAAAUUAGAAACCAUUUUAUAUACUAAUUUUUUUUUGUUUCUAAAUAGUUUCUAUUAUUGUUAAAUGGUUUUUAAAUUGGUAACUAAUUAACAACGAAGGUUUUUGCUACCAAAUUUAUAAACUAAAUAAUUGGUAGUUAAAACCUUAGUUGCUAAUUAGAUACAAAUUUAGAAACCAUUUAAGAAAAAUAGAAACUAAUUUAGAAAUCAAUUUUUUUUAAUUUCUAAAAUGAUCUCAAAUUUAGUUACUAUAGAAUCUAAUUAUUUUUUUUUCUAAAAUUGGUUUCUAUUUCAUGUCUUUUCUGGUAAUGACUUCGAUAAAUUUCUCAAACAUAUUUAUUUUUAAAUAAUGUUUUAAAAAAUUAUUACCCUGCUAAAAAAAAUUAUAUUCAAACAUGUGGUUAAAUGACACCCUUAGAUCAAAAGAUUUGUUAAUUAGAAAAAAAAAAACCAAGUGAACCAGUAAAAAAUGUACUUAACCAAAGCUUGAACUAUAAUAAGCAUUAAAUAUAAAAUUAAUAUUAUAUAUUUUUUUGUAAAUUUAAUUUUAUUAAUAUUUAUUUAAAUUUAUAUAAGCUCUUUUAGAUUAUAGCACUUUGAGAUAAAAUUUGCAAAUAAGAAAAGAACAAAAUUAGGUAAUAAUUCCUAAAAUUGUUAUGUUAUAUAGGGUUAUUAUAGGCCGUUGUACAGUACCAUACUUUCAAGUGUUCAACGCUUGUUACUUAUGUUGAUGAAUUAUAUUAAUUCAUUACGAUGAAAUGUAUUAAUUCAUCAUCCUCAUUUUCGCCAUUUAAGCAAUUAAAAUGGAGUUUAUAAUAUUAUACUGUGUAAAAAAUUCCAUUAAUAUAAGUGUACAAUUAUUUAGUUUAGUUUAAAAUUAUUUAAAUUUUGAAUUAGAAUAGUAAUAUUAUUAUUUUUAUUAAUAUUAUUAACAAUAUAUUGAUGGAGAAACAUGAACCUACCAUGUUUAACAUAUAUUGAAUAACUACUAUACCUUAUCAUAUUCUUAAUAUUAAUAAUAAUAAUAAUAAUAAUAAUAUAAUAAUAAUAAUAAUAAUAGUGAUAAUAAUAAUAAUAUUAAUAAUAAAAAUAAUAAUAUCCACAUACAAUUUUUUUCCGUAUUAGUGAUUGGAGUAUUUACGUACAAGAAAUUUUCCGUAUGUGAUAAAUAUGAGCAUUUACAUACAUAAUUUUUUUCAUAUGUAAUGAUUAACGAAAAGUUUUCUUGGUAAUUAUUAAGAAUAUUUAUAUAUGAAAUUUUUUCAUAUGUAAUGAUUAUACGCAUUAAUAUUAUUAAUAAUUUUAUUAUUAUUUUACUAAUGCUACUAUUAUUAUUAUUGUCAUUUUUAAUAAUAAUAAUGAUAAUACUAUUAAUAAUCAUAAUAAUAAUAAUUUUUAUUAUUAAUAUCGUUAUUCAUAUUAAUAAUAAUAUUAUUAUUACUAUUAAUAUUAUCAUCAUAAUAUAUAAGUGAGUGCAAACUUCACUCCAUUGAGCCGGUUUUAUGGGAUUGAGUUAAGCUUAAAGUUCACUUCGUAAUAAGUUGUAUGGUUUAGAAGAGUUUGAUUCUUCCAUGUCAAAUAUACAUGAAAUUGUUUUGGAAAAAAGAAUGUGAUGUCACUAGUACAUUUGAUUUUGAUAAUUCAAAUACAAAAUGUUAUGUUUCAAAUAACUCGUUGAUCAACAUCAACCUCGGCUCAGCCAAAUUAUUAAGAAGUUAAUCAAACUCAACCCCAACACGAUGGGAUUAUUAAAAAUUUUAUCAGCAUUGACCCUAAUUCGGUGGAAUUAUUAAAAGUUGAUAACCAUUGAUCCCGAUCUGGGGAUUAUGUUUUGUUUAAAAACUUUUGGAAUGUUGAAUUGAAAUGAGUGAAAGAUGAUGUUCAAGUAAAUUUUGGAUUGUACUGGUCAUUUAUGUGUUUGAGAGUUGUACUUGUUAAACUGGUUUUGGAUAAAACUUUGAAAAUAUGUUUCUGGGACAUGAGGUUGAUUUUAUGAUAUUUUUGCUCAAGCAAGCCAAUCCUCACUCAAGCAAAAAUAGCACUGCAUAUCAAUCUUGCAUUUAACCCUAUUUUCACUCAUGUUAUAAUAGAGAUCCCCUUACUUCACUGAUGAUCUAAGACACAUAGACUAAGAUAUCAAGGGUUGAGAAUCUGAUGGGAAAGUUGUUGCACACUGUGACAUAUGUGGAUGCACAACUUGAGUGGUAUUUAAGUUAAUAUGAGUCGUACGGAAGGUGUUAGUCGAUAUUCUACUUGUUAAAUACCCUUGAUUGUAUAGAUCCAUGUGUUGUCUUGUUGUACUUUGAUAUUUGAAUGAGAUUGAAUGGUUGUGAUAUAUUGAUUAAAAUGUCUUCUUUUAUACUUUUUUAUGUUGAACUAACAGUGAUUGUAUUAAGUACAAAAGCAUAUAUAAAGACAUACUCAGGAGCAACAUCAUAACAAUAAAAACUUUAUUUUAUCUUUUCUUUUGUAAAUAUUUAUAUAUAUAUAUAUGUACGAAUUUGUAUGUAUUUUAGUUGUAUUUUAAAAUAUUUUAUGUUUUAUACAUAUUCUGUGUUAGAUUUUUAGUACAGUGGAUAGUUCUUUUUACAAUAUUAUAUUAACUCUAAAAUCAUAAUCCCCUAAUGAAAAACACAAAAGAUCAUAUAUUAUAAUACAUAUAUGUAGUAUUAAGUUUAUAUAGACGGUCCUACCAUCUACAUUGAGUUGAGUUCUUGGUACUUUAUAUAGACUAGAGUUAAUUUAAGUGUAAUUUGUGAGAAUAUUAAGGAGUAUGAUUGUAUUUUACGAACCCGUUCAUUAUUCACAACAUCAUAAUUGGAUGUGAUUUUUAAUAAUUGAUAAUGGAAAAUGAAAUAUGGAUCAUGAAUGUUUCUGGCUUCUGCAUUUUUAUUAAAUAAAAAAGGGAAGAGAUACGUACUUGUUCAUCGUUCAAAUCUAACUAAUUUGGAAGUGGAAAAAAAGAGAAAAGAUAGGUAAGGUUUUUACGUUACCUGCUUUAACUAAGAUGCAGAGAGAGAUGAGAAAAAGAAGUGAUGAUCCAUGACUUCAAUACAAGACACGCUGAAACGUUAAGUUACUGCACAAACAUAAACACAAACACAUGAUCUACAGCUUCAAUUGAAAAGGAAUCGAUUAGAAUUUCAGACCGAUUCAUACCUCCACACAGAAGAAUGCACUCCAUUGAUUGAAUCGAAGAGAGAGUAUUAGAAACAAUCCUCACACUUACUGCAACAAAUAUCUCAGAGAAAGAAACAAGUGCUGAUCCAUGACUUCAAUGCAAGAAACACUGAAGCAUUAUGUUACUGCACAAACAUAACAAACAUAAACACAAACACAUGAUCUGCACCUUCAAUCGAAAAGGAAUCGAUUAGAAAUUGAAAUCAAAGCAGAAGUUAACUUCACACACAGUGAUUCAUACCUCCGCAGAGAUGAAUGCACUCCAUCGAUUGAAUCGAGGAGAGAGCAUAAGAGUUAAGAAUGAAAGGACAUUUGUGAAGAAUGGCGCAGCAACACAUUUCUUGUUAUUCAAUUUGAGAAUGAAAAGCAGAGUUGUGAAGAUUCGUGCACCAAUACCUUUCUUCUUAUUCAGUUUAGGAAUGAAAGCACAGUUGCGAAUUACCUUUCUUGUUAUUCACUUUAAGAAUGAAAGCACACUUCUGAAUAUUUAACUUUUAUACCAAGGUAUUACAAAAUGACAAUGGGUACUCAAUGAAGGAAGGGAUCAUAAAAAAAAUGGUUUCUGUAAUUUUGAAGAAACUGGAGAUGCAUUUGAACAUUAUAAGUCACAUAAAAGUUUUUUUUUUUUUCAUAUAACACUUGUAUUGUUUUGUCUCAACAAGAGCAACGUCUUACAGAACAAUAAAUAAGAUAGCAAACAUACAACAAAAUAGAACAAUCAACUUUUAGAAAGUCAAUUGAAACUAUUUGAUGGUCAAUUGAAACUAUUUGAUGGCGUGAAAAAAUUGAAGCAUACACUACAGAAAAUAAAAAAGACAGAACAAUAUUAUGUAGUUGCAAGUCUUCCUUUUGAGUGAUAAACACUUUGGUCCUUUAUAGCAAUGAACAAUGAAAAUUUUCAUGAGGGAUUUCUAGCAGUCAUGCGAUUGUACUCAUAUUGACUACACAGAACUGACCAUUUAUAAGUCACCUCAAACAAUUUUUGUUGAACUUUUCUUUGAUCUUCAACCAUUUGAGACCCGUCUUUCCUCACAUUUUCAAGCUCCAUUUUGUACCCAAUAGUUUCCACAAGGCAUUUAUUUUUUUCCUCCUCCAGAUAUGAUAAGGCAUCCUCACAAACUUUUAUUUCUUCCUUCAACCUAAUGAUUUGUUCCUUCAAAACUACUUCCUUCAGUUGAGCUUCAUCAUAGAAAUUCUUUGCCUCGGAAAUUUUGGAACCAAAAGUAAUGGCCACCUCAUUCCCACGAGCUUCAUGUUCUGCCAACUUUUCAGUGGUAGCAAAGCCUUGCUUAAAGGUGCAUACAAUGCUUGGGAACUCUUGUUGCAUAAUGCCAAUAAUAUCUUUGAGUCCAUCUGACAGAGUUACAUCUUUAAAAGGAAGGUUGGACAGGAAAUUAAGAGCAGACAAAAGACUAAUGAUAUUAGUCUUCGAGCUAACUAUGUCCUUCAGAGACAUCUUUAGAUACUUUUCCAACUCAACAAGGGUCUUUCCAACUAGGUUGUCUUCACCUUCUUUCCCCACAACAACUGGUGCAAAUAAACUCAUGAUAUCAUUGGCCCCAAAGUCUUGAAUAAUUUUAGGUUGGCCUUCACUUUCUUUAGCAGUGCGUGUCUCAGUUUGGCUGCUCCAAAUUUCACUCUUGGAGGAAUAAGAAGAAAAUAUAACAGAAAAGACGUUAGCAUCAAGCCACAACAGUUGCAAAGCAUUGAGUUCCUUAAACCAUUUUUUAUCAAAGCAUAUUUGUGAGAGUGAUAGUAACAAAUUCAUUAAAUUUAAAUUCCAACUUGAAAUUUAGUACUUUUUGUUUUUUAAUUCCACUCCUAUGGCAAAUGAUAAAUCAAAAUGGUAACAUCAUUUUUAUGAUGAUCAAAUAUGUUGGAAUUGUGAUUUGCAAAAUAAACUUCCAUGUGGAUGUGAUUUAGUUUGGAAAGUAAAUAUUUGGUCCAACUGUGAGCUAGUGUAUUCGGAAUGAAUUGAAGAAGCUGUCAUACUGGUGUUCUUUUUUAUGGUUUCCUCUACAACUUCUCGCUCAAUACUCUGCAUACUCUGACAGAGAAAAUUCACACAACCAACAUAGAGAUACAACUUCAAAUUCACAAAAAGUGAUAGAUUUUCUCUGGGCAUUAACAAAGUCAUUUAAGACUUUUAAUUUCAUUCAUUUUUUACAUUACAUAGUCAAGAAGUUAAAUGAUCAUACCUCUUAGGAUUCUCAUUCAUUUGUCUCUCCGCAAUCUCCUUUCUCAACUUAGGAUCCCUCGUCAAAACAUGUUGACGCAUUUCAUCUACCCAUGAACUCUCAAAUCCAAUCUCAAGAGCUUCUUCGCAUAGUUUAUGGAACUCUUUUUCUCUUUGAGGAAUAACAUCGUCAACACUUUCUUUCUGAACGAACAACAACAUAUCUGCCAACAUUUUCAACCUCCAAGCUUGAAAGCGCUCACUAAACUUCUCGCUAACAUUCCAAAGAUGAGGAUAUGUUGUAAUUGCCUCCACCAGAAGAGCAAUUUGUGCAUCAUCCAGAUCAACAAAAUGUUUAUAUGUUCCCAAUCUUGUACGGAUAUCUGCAGAAGCUAUAAAAAGUUUGAAAGAGUGAUAUGAAAAUAUAGGAUUGAAACAAGAAAAUAAGAAAUAAAAAACCUGGAGAGAUGUCAAUAUUGUUGUUAGAAACAAUAUGUAUCUCCUCUUGUUUUUCCAAUAGGUUCAAACCUUCUUCUACUUUGAUUUCUUGGCUUGACAUGAUUCUUGCAUUCCCUUGAUCAUUCAUCUUAUCAUCUUGUUCAACAACCUUGGAAUCUUGUGCAUGUAUGUCCACGUCACCAAACUCAAUGUGAGUUGCCACACCACCUCCAAUGCUAAUGUCUUCAACACCAGUUGACAAAGGUUUUGUCUUAUCACCCUCUGUUGAAGGCCCCUCACGACCUCCAUUAAUGUCUUCACCAAUAGUUAACAAAGGUUUUGUCUCACCCUCUACUGAAGGCUCCUCUUCAAUGCUCUCAUUUCCAAUGUUUCCAAUCUCCUAUCACAAAUUGAUAAAAUACUAUUGAGUGAGAGUUUAUAAAGUUUGAAAGGACCACUAUUUUUAAUGUACAUCAUGUGGUGGUAUGAGAGUAGUUUGAUAAUUUUUAAUGGUUUUGUUACUAUUACUUCUUCAAGUGCAUGUUUGUCUUAAUAUCACCAAAUUCAUUUUAGGUUUAGUAAUUAUUACACCUAUAUGCUAAGGUAUUUUAUGCAGAGAAUACACUUUACAAUGCUCAAGCUAAGUUUUGUAAGGUAACUCUCAUUGUGACUAUACUUAUUUCUUCUUCAUAUUUAGUUUUUAAUUUCAAGUUCAUUCCUAAUUAGUUGACAUAUGAUGAUAUUAUCUAAUGCAGUUCCUUCUUCGACACCACUCAAUAUUCUGCAAUCUGCAUAAGUCCAGAAGAUGUGAAAUUUGGUAUCUGCAUAAUGUAAACCGAACACUUAAAAAAAAUUAAAAUAAAAAUCAAUUUUAAAAACAAAAAUUAAUUGGUAACUAUAUUAACUAGAUUUGAUAUUAUCUUAAAAACUAAAAAUUAGUAGUAUUUAAAGUUUUUUAUAUUAUUAAUAAAAUUUGUAAAUUAGUUUUUAUAUUGGUAUAUAAUUAGCUAAAAUAUUGGUAACUAAUUAGAUAUCAAUAUAAAAACUAAUUUAUAAAUUUAAUAAUAAUAUAAUCAAUUUUAGAUACUAAUAAUUUUUUUAGUCUCUAAAAUAAUAUAUAAUUUAAUUAAUAUAGUAAUUAAUUAUUUUUGUCUCUAAAAUUAAUUUUUAUUUAAUAAUUUUCUUAGUGAGAAAUAAUGAUUGUCUCUCAAAACAUAGAGCAUUAUUUUAAGAAAUUUUAAUUUAAUUCUUUAAAUUUCAAUGUGUUACAUAUCUUUUUAAAACUUUUCUCAAUUUUUAUUUUAAUACUAAUAUCUUACAAAAUUCACACUCUUAUUCACACUACAGGUAAAUUAAUAAAUACUAGUUUUAAAGACAAAAAAUAAUUAAUUACUAUAACUAUAUUAAAAAUAUUAUUAGUAUUAAAAAUAAUUUUUAUUAAUAUUAAUAAAAUUUAUAAACUAGUUUUUAAAUAUCAAAUUAUAAACUAGUUUAUAAAUUUGAUUAACAAUAAAAAAAUUACUUUAAAUAUCAAUAAUUUUUUUAAUUUCUAAAAUAAUAUCUAAUUUAGUCAAUAUAAUAAUUAAUUAUUUUUUAUUUUAAAAUUAAUAUUUUGUUAAUGAUUUUCUUGUAGUAUAUUUUAUUUUAUUUCUAAAAAAAAAUAUUUUUAAGAUAAAAAAAUAAUUUUUUACUUUUAUGAUUCAGGUACUUAUUUAAAAUCUCAAAUCUUAUUUUUCUAUCACGUAAGUUUAAAUUAAAAAAAUCCUAAUAAUGAGAGAAAAAGGUUAUUAAACUUUUUUUUAAUUGUAUUUAGAUUCAUAGAUUGGUUGGUUCUGACCUGUGUUGAAGUGAACUCACUGCUACAACUAAUACUAAAAUCUUCAUCUAAACUUCUCAUCAAGUGAUUUAUCUCCCAUAACCAAAGUCCAGUCCUUUUGAAAUCUGUAACGAAAAAUACAUAAAAAAGAAACGCAACCUCAGCUUUUCAUGAUGAAUAAUUAUAUUAUUACAACUAAAUAUAACAAAUGAUUUAAAAAGUUUCAUCAUAGGAAUUUUUUUUAUCACCCAUCAAAAUAAAGGAUCGAUCGUUUUCUUUAACAGUUCUUCCUAACUACAAUUACUAGAGCUUAAAAUUAAAAAAAAAAUCAGCAAAUAAUAAUUUACUGUGUUUAUUUUAAAAAAUUUAGUAAAUACUCGGUUGGAAAUUUGAAACAGUCUUAUCUGAAUGAAAUAGUUAAUUUGUAAGGAAAUAUAGUAUUUACCAUGAUAAGGAAAAGUUUUCUUGAGUUUCUCCAGAGUAGUUGUUGGAGUCAAAGAUAGUUUUGGACAUUCGUAGACAACACAAUUCUUUAAAUGGGACAAUUCAAACUCUUGGUUGAGAUUUGAAAGAUGCGUAAAUAUUAAAACUUUGAGUCUUGGAAGUUCAAUUUUUGUUUUUCCUAUCUCAUCAUCACCUUUUCCUUGUCCACGUCUAACAAACUCUUCUAGUUUAGAGGCUCCACUUAUGAUUAAAAGAUAAAGAUUAGGAAAGUCAUUAGAUGCAGAUCCAGAGAUAAAUCUUUUGAGUUUGUGGCAAUGUCCAACAUACAAUGCUUCUUGUUUUGGGAAGAAUGCCUGAGGAGAAAGAAGACUAGACAAUUUGUUAUCCUCCACAUCCUCUUCAAUGAUUACUCUUAAUUCUUUGCAUUUUCUUAUCUUCACAAUACUCAACAUUGGUAGGCAUCUUAAAUCAUACUUUGAAAAGAUUACUUCCAAUUUUGCACAUCCAAUAAUUUCUAAUUUUUGAAGAUUUGAGAAGAUAAGAGAAUUGUUUGGAGCUCCUUGUUCACAUCCAACAAUCUUCUUCAAUUUCAUGCAUUCUUUUAUUAUUAGCUCUUUCAACUCUGGUAAGCUUCUUAAAACAGAGGGAGGAAAUAUUACUUUCAAUUUUGCACAUCCUAUUAUUUUUAAUGUAGUAAGAUGUUGGAGAUUAACUGAAAUCUUGGAAGCCACCCAAAUAUAAGUCAUUUGAGGUAUAUUUUCCAAUUUCAAACGCUCUAACCUUAAGCUCACUUGUUGCCCAAUCAUUCCAUCUCCAUUAAGACAAAAAAUACCUUCUACUUCAGAAUUGGUUACAGAUAUAUUUUGCAAAGUGAGAAGAGGGUUCUGAACCCCUUUUGGAUCCUACAGGACAUUCAUAGGAAAUGAAAAAACUCCAAAAAGAAAACAAAAAAGGAACAAAUAACUAAUAAUCAUAAAAAAAAGACAAGACUACCUUCUUACUUGCGUUGAUAGGUUCUCUUGAAUCUGCAGGAGCCGUCAAGCAAUUAAUAGAAUUAUAAAACGGAUAGGCACAUUUAUAACAAGUAAACUCCUUCAAAGAUGGCCACGUCACGGUGAGAUUGUUGGUAGCACAAAUGCUAACAAAAUUUGGUAGAUUAUCAAGAGAGAGUAUUUCCAAUGCUGAGAAAUGAAUAUGCAUCUCCUCACAAUCCUUAUUAGCUGCGAAAUAUUGGCCAAACAUAUAUGUCAAUUGGCCACAAUCACGCACUGAGAGGUCUCUUAAGUUUGGGAAGAUUGCAUUCAAAUUCUCUUUGCCAUAUUCAUCCUCAGUGUCUAUAAUGUGCUCAAGUCCGUGACAUUGCUCGAUUCUCAAGAUUUCCAACAUCAGUAAUGAAGCAAUGGACAAUUUAAAAAUGUACUUUACCUUAUCAAAGCCAUUCAUGUUAAUCUCUCUUAUGUUAUGCAUAAUAAUCAAGGUCAAACCAUGUGGUGGUUUUGAAAUAUAUUGAACACUUUCAACUGGGAAAAUAGAAUCUGAGUUCGAUAUCUGCAAUACAUACACCAAGUUACUUGUUAAACCAAACUAAUUAGUGUCUUAACUUUAAUUAUUAAUGUAUUUCAUUUCUAACAAAUAAUUGUUUAUGAAAAUAAAUUAUUUUUGUUUAGCACAACAAGAAAAAGUUGAAAAGAGAAUAAUUUCACAAAAGUAAUCUAUUCCAAAUAAUCUAUGCCAAUACUUAGAUAUUAAAAAAUUCAUGUUGCACCUUCGGUAUAGUGCUUGUAAGACCAACUUUUAUUUUUAGCACAAAAUGAUCGUGCAAUUCAAAUGUUUUGAGUAAUUUUUCUAAAUACACGAAGAGAGAGACAAAGUAAGUGAUGAUAAUCAUACCUUGAUUGCAAUAUAAUCCUCUUGUCUAGCUUUUGAAGAAUCUGCUGAACAAUUUAUAGUGAAAAACUCAACACAUCUUCCAGUAGUCAAUGAUAGUUUUCCUAAAGAUGGACAUCUUACAUGAUAAUUGCCUAGAAGAGAGUUAUCCAUGAUACGAACAAGUACGAGUAUUUCUAAAGCAGGAAGCUCAAUUUGAUUAUUAUUUUGUUGUUGACUUGAAAGAUCUUUCAAAUUAGAAGCCUCUUUAUUUCCUAUUUCCAUGCCUCCAACAAAAGAGAUAGGGAACAUACAUUGCAAUAAGUCACAUUCACUGAUAUUUAGCGUUUUCAAACUUUGGAAGAUUGAAAUAUCACUCUGAAAGUCAUGGUCAUCCUGGACAAUGUUUUCCUUCUGUUGAUUGACCCUUUCAUGAGUUACUAUAUGUUUCAAACUAUUGCACCUUUUUAUGAUCAACACUUCCAAAAAAGUCAAGGUCUUAGCUAUAGAUGCUGUAAAAAUUGAGCCUAACUUCGGACAAUCGAUUAUCGUAAGGCUUGCAAGGCUUGAUAAAGUUCCUGAAAAGCAAUUAUAAAUAAGAAAAAUAUCGCUCAACAUAUUAGAGUUCGUUAUAUAUAUGUUAUGUGUGCAAGUUACAUUCUAAUUUUGAAGACAUUGGUUUCUAGGGACGGAACUGCAAUCCUAAGCAUCAAACGAUUCGUUAAUAAUGAUGAAAAGAAUCAUACAAAACAAAUUUUUUUAAAAUAAUUCGAAAUUAUCUAAAAAGUUUAAAAUGCAAAUAUAAUUGUCUUUAAUUUUGAUUGGAGACAAAUUUUGCUCAUAGUGCAUUAAGAAGUAGUAGGUUUAAGUAAAACUAGAUUAGUAAUGUCUUGAGUUUGAACCACGUGAAUGAAAAAUAACAGAUUAGCAGUUUUCAUCUAACUUGUAAAUAACUUCAACUAAGCAAUAACAUGUAGACUUCUUAAUAUGUACCUGGGCUAUGGUUCAAAAUUGUUGUUGAUGGAGUUGAAGUGCUAUACAAAUGUGGAUGCUUACCUUCCUCAACGAUUUCAGCAAGUUCUUCUUUUUUAUCCUGGUAUGUUAAUGGAUCAAUAUCCCCAAAUAUUUGAUCUAACAUGUUGCAUUCUUGUAUAUUGAGCACUUUCAAUUGAGCUAAGCCUUUUAAAACACUGGUCGAGAAUAUAUCUUUUAAUUCUCUACAUCUAUUUACCUCUACUUCCUGAAGAUUUUGGAAGAUUUGUACAGGAUGCCCAAUGGUGAAUUCACAUUGAUUUUUCUCUCUUUUCUCAUCAUCUGCUAAUAUAUGUUUCAGUCCAUCACAUUCUGAUAUUUUUAAUAUUUUCAAUUGUACCAAACAUCGAGCAACGACAUACGUGAAGAGAGAUGUCAACCGUGGACAAUCACUUAAAUACAACUCCUCUAAGUUCUCAAAAGGCCCAUUGGCAGGUUGAAAACAAUGCCAUAAAGCUCUUAGACUUUUCAUGUUAUUCAUUCUGAGCGUAUGCAACUUUGAGAAGAAAGUUACCACCUCACUCAAAUGGUUACUAGUUUCAAUCAAGCACUCUAUCUCUUCAGAAUCCUGUAUCUCAAACUUAUUCAGUUCAUCCAAACCUCCUCCUUCAAUUUGAAAUAUAUCAGGGAUGAUAUUUUUUGCGCCUCCCUGAAUAUUUGCUACAACUAGAUCUGUUGCUUUUUUUGCCAAACCCUUAAUUACCUCAUUUGAUAUGUCAAAAUGGUUAAGUAAUAGAGUUCUGGAAGGAGGGUGAAGAUAAUUAUAAUUAUAAUAAAAGUCAUUGUAUCCCAAUACAAUUGCAUACCUUUGCAAUGUUUGGGGGACACUAAACGUGUUAAAGAAUUCAAUAUUGUCUUCACUGUUAGCUUUCCAUUUUUCUUCAACAAUGUACAACUCUUCUAGUCGUGGGGUUCUUUUUAUCACUUCAAAAUUCUUCCCUUUCAUUUUACAUCUGUAGAACUGUAACAAUUUUAAGGUUGUUAUUUGUGUAAUUGCAACAUUGGUUUGUAAUUCAGGAAAUGAAGGCAAUGAACAAUCAUUCAUCGAAAGACUUUGAAGUUUUUUCAUAUUGUUUACAAAUGAGAAGUCGCUCAAUUCAUAGCCAGAAAUAACUAGAUAACGAAGAUUCGUUAAUGUUUUUAAAGACAUUGUGGACAAUGGUGUUAUUCCAACAUUAUCAUUGGCUAGAAUUAAAACUUUGAGAAUUUCCAUUCUUUUGAAGAUUCCAUCAAAUUCUUCCAAUUUUGUCUUUAAGAAUAAAAACUCAAGAUUUGAACAAUCCAAAUCAUUUGGAAAUUUUACACACCAUAGACAUCUUAUUGAAUUUUGUUCAAUAGUCACAUCUUUUUCCACUUCGCACUUGAUGAUCUUAUUCUCAUUCUUUGCUAUCAGGUGGGCCACAUCGCGAACUAAGUCAUGCAUUUUUACACAUUCAUUCUUUUCAUCCAACAAUAAACAAGAACUAACGAGCUUAAUUUUGGUUGCAACCACUUCACUCCUUGCCUCCUCAUAAGAGUGUGCUUCUCCAACUACACCUAAUCCUAUAGCAUAUCUUGUUAAAGAUUCAAUUGGAAUUUCAUAAUCUUCAGGGAACACAGAACACAAUAGGAAAAGUGAUUUAGCUUCUUUAGUAUCCAAAUUAUCAUAGCUCAGCUGCAAGCACUUGUAGGGAUCAAUCAAACCUCUUUCAAUAUUUACUGGCUUAGAACUUCUCAAUUUAUUCAAUGUAACACUCCAUAUCGUCUCAGCUUUUCCCUUCAAACUACUGGCAACAGCUGCAACGGCAACAGGCAAUCCUUUACACUCAUUGGAAAUUAAUUUACCCAUAUGCUUUAAGGUAUCAAGGGUGUCUUCAGAUAUAAGGGCUUUAUUUUGAAAAAGAGUCCACGCUUCUUCAUCCGUUAAAAUUGGCAGGUAAAUCAUUCUUUGACAAUCCAUUGAAGUACAAACUUCUUCUGAUCUAGUGGUAAUGAGAAUCUUGCAACCUUUAUGGUGUUCAGAGGAGGGAAUUCCAAUGCCACCAUAGUCAAGUUUCUCCCACACAUCAUCUAGAAUUACAAGAAUGUUUUUCUCCUGGUUUAAUCUCAAGCACAAUCGUUGGGCCCUCUCCAUUACUUCAGUUUCUGGAAAUGUAUACUGCAAUGAACUUGCAAUUUUUUCUUGAAUCCUUUGAACUUCCACUGUACUAGAAAUAGGCACAAAAAGAACUUUUUCAAAACAAUGUUCUGCUUCUACUAACUUCUUAACCUCCAUUGCUAAUGUGGUUUUACCACAACCCCCCAUCCCAUACAAUCCAAUCAUGGAAACAUCAUUAUUUUUCACUGCUUCCAGUAGUUGCUCAUAUGCAGAUUGUCUACUCUCAAAAUUCAUGGAUUUUUCUAAGAGAAUAUCAAGGGUGCCUGAAGGAAGUGUAGCAAUGCGGUCAAAUGGCACAUAAUGUCUACCCUUUUCGAUGAACUUUUCAAGGUCCACUGUUUUAUUUGCUAACUUUUUUCCUACACGGUAUCGCCAAAUCAAAUUUGGACAAUGCCCAAAGCAACAGAUUUUUUUGGCUUUUGCCUCUUUCAACAACUGAUUCACAUUGUCUGCAUCAUUGAUAGCAUCUUGCAGCCACUUGUCAACAACUUCACUGGUCUUUCUUGUUUGUUUCUUUGCAUUUGUAACAAAUUUUUGGACACUGUCUUUCGUUACAAUCAAAUCGCCCUCUUCUUCUUCAAGUUUUUUUACGAAAUUGUUAAAGCAACAAGGAUAACGUAAUUGAUUUAAUGUUCCACAUACUAAAUCUCUUGAAACAGAAGAUGCAAAACCCAAGAGGCACUCCAUCAAUUUGUUCCACCAAAUGCAACUUUCUUUUACUUGAACAAGAGAAGAUGAAUACUCCAUAGUUAGUUUUAUAAUUAUAUUUAGAUGUAUUAGAAAAUAAAAGAUUUUAAGAUCGCAUUACAUAUUGGAGUACGUCACUUUUAUAGUAAAAUUACAGAAAAGGUUAUGAUAUUAUGUUUAGUAAUUAGAUUUAAUGUUUCAUACCUUAUAUAAUAAUUAUUGGACAUAGAAAUAAAAAUAAAUCUAAUAACUUUAAUGAUUACUUUUAAAAGUUCAUGUGUGAUAAGAUUUUUAAAUUUCCUUUUCAUCACUUAGAAAAUUUUAUCAAAUAUAUUUAUUUUUAAAUAAUUUUGUUUCAAAAAAUUCUUAUCCUCCCUAAAAAAAAUUAUAUUUAAACAUGUGCUUAAAUGACACCCAAAUAGAUCAAAAGAUUUGUUAAGUAGAAAAAAAAAGUGUACGAGUAAAAAAUGUAUUUAACCAAAACUUAAAAUAUGCAUUAUAUAUAAAAUUAAUAUUAUAUAUAUUUUGUAAGUUUAAUUUUAUUAAUAUUUAUUUAAAUUUAUACAAGCUCUUAGAUAUAGCACUUUUUGAUAAAUUUGCAAAUAGGAGAAUAACAAAUGUUGGUAAUUUCUAAAUCAGAAUAUUUUUCCAAGAUUCUUGGAGUAGAAUAACAUAUAAAACGAUACAAGGUUCAAGAAAAAGUCAUCAAUUUUCAGAGUUUGAUAGAGGUGUUCGUAAAGCAGAGAAUUAGAGUUUUCUUAGUGUUUUAUUUUCUUCAUUAUAAUCCUUUAAAUUUGUCUCCAUAUGGAAGGUUAAACCCCUUAGGAUUCAUUUUCUUGUGUUUUUGCAAUAAAUUGAGGUUUAUGUUCUAUAAAAUUGUAUUCUUAAAUUCUCUAUAGCAAAUUGUGUUUUAUUGUUAGUCUUUUUGGAAUGUGGUUUUUGUCAAAAUAUUUGUUUUUUAACGCUUAUUGAGAAUUUAGCUAAUUUCUUUAAUUUGAUUCGCUUAGUCUUAAUCAAUGUCUUGUUUGCUUAAUUGAAGAGGUAGAAGAUAAACAUCUAACAAGUAGACAUUGAAACUUGUGAGAUACUGAAUACAUCAGUGGACACUUGUUUUGGUGAUAUUUAAUUAAUUACCAAGUUUUGGAUAUCAAUUUUAGAAUCUAAAAUAGUUGGUGGCUAAAACCUUGGUAGCUAAUUAAAUAUUAAUUUAAAAACUAAUUUAUAAAUUUAGAAACUACUUUAACUACCAAUAAUUCUUUUAAUUUCUAAAAUAUUACUUAAUUUAUUCAAUAUAGUGACUAAUUAUUUUUUGUUUCUAAAAAUAAUUUCUAAAAUUAGUCUAUUUAAUAAUUUUCUUGUAGUGCAUAUUAUGAUUAAUAUAAAAUGACAUGUGAUUUUUAUUUUUUUUAAUUAAAUAAUGUGUUGGAUAACAAAGGACUAUCAUUGUCACUUACAUCAAUGACAAUGACGACAAUUCCUUGAUCGUUGUAGAUGUUGACGUGAAAGUAAUAGGUAAGUAUGACAAUCUUGUUAUCCAACACAUUUUUAAUAAAAGCAAUAAGAAUCACUUCUGAUACAUUAACAAUAAUAUCAUUUUGUAUGUACUAUACAACAUACAUUUUUAACAUGUGGAAACAAAUAAGAUGUCGAAUCAAAAUAAUAGUCAUGUCACUUUAUUAAUGAAAAAUAAACGACAAAAACUCAAUUAAAAAUAUAUUUUUUUAAUUAAAAGUAUCUAAAAAGAUACUUGAAAUUUAAUUAAGUCUAAAAUAAAUGAUUUUUUUUAGCUCAUUACAUAUACUUAGCUACAUUGAACUGAGUGAGUUAGACUAGGUACUUUAUGAGUUCUUCUCAAAUUAAACCAAGACUCGAGUGCUUUAAAAAUUCUACACAAACUUCUAUUGUUUUGAAAGCCUUACAUUAUCACUGUUUGUUAAAUCACACAUGCAAUUUCAUUAAAAACCGUUAAUAUAGGUAUAAUUCAAUUUCAUUAAAAACAAUUAAUAUAAGUAUAAUUUGUGAGAAUAUUAAGAAGUAUGAUUGUAUUUUACUCACCCAUUCAUUAUUCACAUCAUGAUGAUUGGAUGUGAUUUUUAAUAAAAAUUUCCAAUGUAAAAAGUGUUUGAAUGUUUUUUCCUACACUUUUAUACCUUCUUCGGGCAUCCGUAUUUACAAGUAAGGUCAAAAUAUCAUUUUAUCCUUAAAAAUAUACUUCUGAAUUUUACAAUUUGAAAGUGUUAUUUUUUCUAUGUUCGAAAUAAUUCAAAAGGUAUAAUGCUUUUCAGAUUUUACAAUUUAAAAUAUAUUUUUUUCUUUAAAAAAAUUUAUUCUGAAAUACAUAAUCCAAAAGUUUUCCUAAAUAUGAUAAUAGCUUUCCUAAAUAUGAUAAUAGCUUUCAGAUUGUACAAUUCAUAACAAUCUAUUACUAUAAUAUUCAGAUUGUCCAAUCCAAAAGAUAUUUUCAAAUCCGAAAAUACUUUUCAAAUUCUACAAUCUAAAUAUAAUUUUAAAAUAUAUUUUGGAUUGUACAAUUUAAAAUUAUCCUUACAAAAUAAAGUCCAAAAUACAUUAUAAUAAAGAGUAUUAUAGAUUUUAUAAUCCAAUAUAAUAAAAAAAAUAAACGAAUGGAAAAUUCUAAUAUGUACUCGUAAUGUUAGGGUUGGAAUUAAAAAAAAAAUAUGGAAAUUUAGGAGAAAGAAAAAACGUGUAGGGAAGAAACAUGUGUGUUCCCUAAUUGAUAAUGGAAUAUGAAAUAUAGAUCAUGAAUGUUUCUCGCUGCCGCAUUUUUAUUAAAUAUCAUUUUUAAAUGGGAAGAGAUAUAAAAACAGUGUAUUAUAAUAGUUAAAAUUAAUAUAAUAAAACUAAAAGUUGUAUUGUCUGAUGGAAAAAUACAUUAAUAUAUAAAAAAAAUAUUUAUAAAAUUUAAAAGAUAUUACGAUUACUUUAUUUUAACAGGAUUUAUAUAUGUACGAAAUAAAUAAGAGCAAAAAUAUCUUUAAAAAUAGUGUAAGAAAAAGUAUCCGUCUUAUAUAUUAUCAAUGGAAAUAUAGAGACCGAUGAACAAUAUUUUUUAUUACGUUAAAAAUAAAUAACCUUCUAAGAAUAAUUUUAAAAAUAUAUGAUAAUUAUUUUUAAGAAAAAUUAUUAUAUAAUUGUUUUUAGUAGAGAAACUAUAUACUUACUUAUUUACUAAAAAAAUUAUUUAAUUUAUUAAAAGAUAAAAUUAUCUAAUUAAAAAAUGACAAAAAAUAGUUAUAAAAAAUAUUUUCUGAUACAAAUUGUUAAUAAUAGUAAAUUAAUUAACCCUAAUAAUAAAAAAAAGUGAUAAUAAAUAAAUAAUGAAAAAAAUAAUAUUGAUAAUAUAAUAAAGAAUAAUAACAAUAAAAAAUUUACUUAUUUUUAUUUUAAUUUAAAUAAUUUAAAAAUAAUAAUUUCUACUCUUUUUAUUUUCUCAAUUAACACUGUUUUAUAUUUGUUCUCUCAUUUUUUUAUUUCAUUAAUUUAUUUUCCCCCUAUUUGGUUUCUCAAGGCAACUUGUAAGGCUGCAAAAUUCCUUCUGAUCAAGUGAAAAAAAUCAAAUUCUCAAAUCCAAUUUAUAUUUAUUUAAAUUUAUAUUAUUUUAAGUUUAUUUAAAUAGAUUUAUUUGAAAUCCAAUUUUUAUUUUUACAUUUUAACUUCAAUCUAUUUUAAUUGGCGUUGGAAGGAAUAUUGAAUAGUUUUUAAUUUUGAAAAUCUAAAAUCACGUAAGUCUAAAUCAUUUUAAGUUAUAAAAAACUAAGUUGAGCUAAACCCAAGUAAAAUAUUACUGGAUCGGACUCAUGUAAGAUCAGCCCAAGUUGAUCCGAGCUCAACAAUUGAGCUCAAUCCAUUCAGUUCUAGUUCAAUCAAGUUGUGUUGUGUCCAAAUCAAACGAAGCAUGAUUGGAUUAGGUUAGGUUAAUCCUAGAUAGAGUCGAUUUUGCCUAAGUCCAAGUCAACUAAGACUUUGGUAAGAUUAAAACGGACUAGUUAAGUCGAAACAAGUCAAGUUGCGUUUAUAUUCAAUCAAUACAUCGGAUCCAUAUUGAGUUGAAACCAUGUUUAACUAAAUUGAGUUAAUUCCACGAUAAGUCAAUUAGGUUGAUCUCACCUCAGAUUUAAGUAAAUUUAAUCUAAAGUUAAUCCAUUUCAAAAAUUAAUUAAAAAAAUUCAAAAUCAAUUUAAUUUAGUUAAAAUAGAUAUGUAUUUUAAUUUUGAAAAUUUUCCACGCAUGAUCCUCCGAACUUCUCAUCACACUUUUCCCUCCCAUCCAGCUAUUCCCAUUUUGAACUCUAUCGUCCAUGUGGUUGUUUAUACUGAGUUUUCACAAAUGUUUGAGUAUUUGUAAUAAAAGUUGUUUAUAAUAGUUAUUUAUAAAUAAAAUUAUUAUUUUAAUGUAACUUCUAUCCAUAUAAAUGGUUUAAAUUUAAAAAUAAUUAUUUAUAAAUUAAAGGGAGUUAUUAUUUUAGAAGAAAAAGAGAGUAGGUGAAGUAAAACAAAAGUGCAAAUAGAAGUCUUAAUUUAUGGGAAAAUAAGAAAGAUUCAGCUAAUACAAAUUGUUUUUUCAGAUCUCGCAUAAAAAACAGAGUAUCUAGUGUUUUGAUCCACAAGAUGAAGCAGAUAUAGUUGUCUGAACCUGUUCAUGGUUCAUAUCUAACUAAUUUGGAAGAAGAGGAAAGAUAUGAAAUAUUACCUUCUUUAACUAAUAUGUAGAGAGAGAUGAAAGAAAGAAGUGGUGAUCCAUCACUUCAAUACAAGAGAAGCUGAAACGUUACGUUUCUGCACAAACAUAAACACAAACACAUUAUCUACAACUUCAAUUGAAAAGGAAUCGAUUAGAAAUUGAAAACAAAGCAGAAGUUAACUUCACGCUGAUGCAUACCUCCACAGAGAUGAAAGUACUCCAUUGCUUGAUUCAUACAUGCACAGAGAUGAAAGGAAUCCAUUGGUUGAAUGAAGAACAGAGUAAAACAGAGAAUCCUGCAAGAGAUAAGAAUGAAAGCAGAGAAGUGAACCCAACCACACCUUUUGGCUAUCAGAGUCACAAUCGGUUUUACAAUUCAAGUAUUUGUGAAAAGAAUACAUGUGGAUUUGUUUUAUACAUGUAGUUUAAGUAAAAUUAUUUAAAAAUAAUUCUUCAAAAUAAAGACUCAGAUAAUACAAUUCAAAUAAAAUUUCGCACUAAAAUAUAAAUGUAAAUAAAUUUGCUCUUUCAAAAAAAAAUUUAAAAUAAAUUGCACACAAGUUCAAAAAAAUUAAUAUUUCUAAAAAUAAUUUUAAUUUCACAAGUCUAAAUAGAAAUAUUUAAAUAUAUAAAAUUAAAUUCUAAAUAAUUUUUCAGCGUUUAAUAUUUCUCUAGCAGAUACAAUAAUUAACGGGUAAGGGGUAUUUGUGGAUAAUAUGAUACCCUUAUCCUUAGAGUGAAUAAUUAAAAUAUCCAUACAUAUUAUUUAUGGAUAACUAUUAUUUGGAACGCAGUUUUUUCAACACUUUCUUUGAAAAAAUCUUUGAUGUUUGAGAAACUUUUACAAAAUCUUUGUGAAAGAAGAAAAAAAAAUGUAAACAUUCAUUAUAAGAAAAAAAAAAUAUUUAGAAGUUUGAUGUAAUGUUCAAAACUUUAAUUUGUUGUAAAUAUUUGAUUAAGUCCUAUAUUUUGUUUUUCAUGUAUACUACACCAAGUUUCCUUAACAAUUUUAUUAUGAUAAUCUUUUAACUUUUCUACCAAAGUAGAUACGAUGUACAUUAUCUUUUAUUACAUGUCUCGUGAAUUUAUGGUUGAUGGUAAAUAAUUGAAAUCUUUAUUAAUUUUAUUGAGGUACAUUGUCCAAGUUCUGUGAAAAUAAUAUUAUGCCAAAAAAUAAACAGAAAAUUUUCUUACUCUUGACUAUUUAAAAUAAGUGGGAAAUUUUUAAUAAGUUACACUUGUUAUCAAUCUUGUUUUUCAGAUUUUUUUCAUAAUUUUUUAUUUAAUCUUUGCUGGGUUUAUUAUUGUAGAGCAUAAAGAUAAUUUUGGUUGCAUAUGGCUAAGACAGUGAAAUGUUGAAUAUAAGUGAUUGCUGCAUUAGAAGAAAGAGGAAUGCCAAAUGGGCUAAUGUAACACUCAAUGCAACUCCUUUUUCUUUUUUCUCAAACAUAAUAUUGUUGGAAUCAUAUCCACAGAGAAACAUGGUGAACUCAUUAAGACAUACAUAAAAUAAAUAUAAGGUAUUACAAAAUGACAAUGGCACUCAUUGAAGGAAGGAACAUAAAAGAAAUGGUUUUUGUAGUUUUGUCUCACCAAGACCAACCUCUUACACAACAAUAAAUAAGAUAGCAAACAUACAACAAAAUAGAACAAGCAAAAGACAGAACAAUAUUCUAUAGUUGCAAGUCUUCCUUUUGAGUGAUGAACAAUUCGGUCUUUAAUAACAGUGAACAAUGAAAAUUCUCAUGAGAGAUUUCUAGCAGCCAUGCGAUUAUACUCAUAUUGACUACAGAGAAAUGACCAUUUAUAAGUCACCUCAAAUAACUUUUGUUGAACUUUUCUUUCAUCUUCCACCAUUUGAGACCGGUCUUUCCUCACAUUUUCAAGCUCCAUUUUAUACCCAAUAGUUUCUACAAUCCUUUUAUUUUUCCUCUUCCAGAGAUGAUAAGGCAUCCUCACAAACUUUUAUUUCUUCCUUCAACCUAAUGAUUUGUUCCUUCAAAACUACUUCCUUCAGUUGAGCUUCAUCAUAGAAAUUCCUUGCCUCGGAAAUUUUGGAACCAAGAGUAGUGGCCACCUCAUUCCCACGAGCUUCAAGUUCUGCUAACUUGUCAGUGGUAGCAAAGCCUUGCUUAAAGGAGUGUACAAUGCUUGGGAACUCUUGCUGCAUAGUGCCUAUAAUAUCUUUGAGUCCAUCUGAUAGAGUUACAUCUUUGAAAGGAAGGUUGGACAGGAAAUUAAGAGCAGACAAAAGGCUAAUGCUGUUAGUCUCAGAGCUAACUAUGUCCUUCAAAGACAUCUUUAUAUACUUUUCCAACUCAAGAAGGGUCUUUCCAACUAUGUUGUCUUCACCCUCUUUCCCCACAAUAACAGAUGCAUAUAAACUCAUGAUAUCACUGGUCCCAAAGUCUUGAAUAAUUUUAGAAUGGCCUCCACUUUCUUUAGUAGUGUGUGUCUCGGUUUGGCUGCUCCUAAUUUCACUCUUGGAGGAAUAAGAAGAAAAUAUAACAAAAAAGACGUUAGCAUCAAGCCACAACAGUUGUAAAGCAUUGAGUUCCUUAAACCAUUUUUUAUCAAAUCCUAUUUGUGAGAGUGAUGGUAACAAAUUCAUUAAAUUUAAAUUCCAACUUGAAAUUCAGUACCUUUUGUUUUUUAAUUCCACUCUUGCAGCAAAUGAUAAAUUAGAAUGGCAACAUCAUUUUUUAUGCUGACCAAAUAUGUUGGAAAUGUGAAUUGCAUAAAAUAAACUUACAUGUGGAUGUGAUUUAGUUUGCAAAGUAAAUAUUUGGUCCAACUGUGAGCUAGUGGAUUCGGAAUGAAUUGAAGAAGCUGCCAUACCGGUGUUCUUUGCUAUGGUUUCAUCAACAGCAACUCGCUCAAUAAUACUCUGCACAAGAACAAGAAAUAUGUAGUUUUGGUGUAUGCCGUUUUAUUUUCAAAAUGACAAGAUGUGUGUCAAUAAAAUGCCUCGGUUUUAUUUUGUUCGUCAUUUACCUGAGGAAUUUUGGGGCUACUUACAAUUUCUCCUAGUGGCUUUUGUUGGUUCAUCAAACACGGUUCACUAAUCCGUUGUUUGUCCACCAAUGCCUAAAGAAAGUAAUGAAUAGGUGUAAAAUCAUUGUAGACUCAAUACUAUUUUUUCAUCCAAUACUCGAAAAAAUAUUUUUAGACUCACAUUUGAGUGUGUUUCAUGUAGAGGUUUAUUCAAAUAACUUGAACUUGGCCUUUCAACUAGUUGCAAGUUUGUUAAUGAUGUUGUCGUUCUUGGUAUUUCUGAAGUGGAAACUUUUGCAACAAAUUCCUUCUCUGGUUCUUCAUUUCUUGCAGUCACAAUGCGGUCAUUGGAAACAACAGCUAUUUGACCUUCUUUGUCAACCAAGUUAAAACCUUCUUUGAAGUUACUAUUAACAUUAUGAGUCUUCACACUUGGAGAAGUUCUUUUGCAAUUUUCAUUAGGCCCAUCACCAUGUUCAACAGCCUUGGAGUCUAGUACCAUCUCCACACUACUAUACCUGUGUAAUAAACUUAAAUUUUAUGCUCUAUGCAUCCCAAAGAACAGAAAACUAAGAAACAUAUGGUAUCAAUCUUGUAAGAAUUGCAGAUACAACCACAAUGUAUAUAUAAACAGAAAUAGGAAAUCCACACAACCACAACAUAGAGAUAUAACUUCAAAUUCACAAAACACUAAUACAUUUUAUCUCCACAUUAACAAAGUCAUUUAAGACUCUUAAUUUCAUUCAUUCUUUACAUUAAGUAGUCAAGAAGUUAAAUGAUCAUACCUCUUAGGAUUCUCAUCCAUUUGUCUCUCUGCAAUGUCCUCUCUCAGCUUAGGAUUCCUCGUCAAAACAUGUUGACGCAUUUCAUCUACCCAUGAACUCUCAAAUCCAAUCUCAAUAGCUUCUUCGCAUAGUUUAUGAAACUCUUUUUCUCUUUGAGGAGUAACAUUAUCAACACUUUCCUUCUGAAUGAACAACAACAUAUCUGCCAAAAUUUUCAACCUCCAAGCUUGAAAGCGCUCACUAAACUUCUUGCAAGCAUUCCAAAGAUGAGGAUAUGUUGUUAUCGCCUCCACCAGAAGAUCAAUUUGUGCACCAUCCAAAUCAACAAAAUGUUUAUAUGUUCCCAAUUUUGUACGGAUAUCUGCAGAAGCUAUAAAAAGUUUGAAAAGUGAUAUGAAAAUAUAGGAUUGAAACAAGAAAAUAAGAAAUAAAAAACCUGGAGAAAUGUCAAUAUUGUUGUUAGAAAUAAUAUGUAUCUCCUCUUGUUUGUCCAAUAGGUUCAACCCUUCUUCUACUUGGAUUUCUUGGCUUGGCAUGAUUCCUCCCUUUCCUUCAUUCAUCUUAUCAUCUUGUUCAACAACCUUGGAAUGUUGUGCAAGUAUGUCCACACCACCAGACUCAAUGUGAGUUCCAACACCACCUCCAAUGCUAAUGUCUUCAACCCCAGUUGUUAAAGGUUUUGUCUUAUCACCCUCUGCUGAAGGCCCCUCUUCAAUGCUCUCAAUUCCUAUGUUUCCAAUCUCCUUUGUAUCACAAAUUAAGAAAAUACAAUUGAGUGAGAGUUUAUAAAGUUUGAAAGGACCACUAUUUUUAAUGUAUAUCAUGUGGUGGUAUGAGAGUAGUUUGAUAAUUUUUAAUGGUUUUGUUACUAUUGCUUCUUCAAGUGCAUGUUUGUCUUAAUAUCACCAAAUUCAUUUUAGGUUUAGUAAUUAUUGCACCUACAUGCUAAGGUAUUUUAUGCAGAGAAGUUUCCAUACAAAUUAGAGGUGAGUUUCUAAAUUCUAAAAGAGUAGUUGGUAUUGCUAGUCUCUCAUUGAUGUUAGAACUAUUUCAAUAAAUAUUGUCAGUUUCAAGAAUACACUUUACAAUGCUCAAGCUAAGUUUUGUAAGGUAACUCUCAUUGUGACUAUACUUAUUUCUUCUUCAUAUUUAGUUUUUAAUUUCAAGUUCAUUCCUAAUUAGUUGACAUAUGAUGAUAUUAUCUAAUGCAGUUCCUUCUUCGACACCACUCAAUAUUCUGCAAUCUGCAUAUAAGUCCAGAAGAUGUGAAACUUGGUAUCUGCAUAAUGUCAACCGAACACUAAAAAAAAAAAGCUUACAAAAAAUAAAUAGUUACUAUAUUAACUAGAUAUACUAUCUUAUAAACUAAAAAAUUAGUAGUAUCUAAAGUUAUUUAUAUUAUUAAUAAAAUUUAUAAAUUAGUUUCUAUAUUGGUAUCUAAUUAGCUAAAACCUUCGUAGCUAAUUAGAUAUCAAUAUAAACACUAAUUUAUAAAUUUAUUAAUAAUAUAAUCAACUUUAGAUACUAAUAAUUUUUUUAGUCUCUAAUAUAAUAUAUAAUUUAAUUAACAUAGUAACUAAUUAUUUUUAUCUUUAAAACUAGUUUUUAUUUAAUAAUUUUCUUGUAGUGAAAAGUAAUGAUUGUCUCUCAAAACAUAGGGUAUUAUUUUACGAAGUUUUAAUUUAAUUUUUUAAAUUUCAUUGUGUCACAUAUCUUUUUAAAACUUUUCUCAAUUUUUAUUCUAAUACCAAGAUCUUACAAAAUUCACACACUACUGGUAAGUCAAUAAAUACUAGUAUUAAAAGACAAAAAAUAAUUAAUUAUGUACUAUCUUAAAAAUUAAAAACAUUAUUUGUAUCAAGAUUACUUUUUAUUAAUAUUAAUAAAAUUUAUAAACUAGUUUUUAAAUAUCAAAUUAGAAACUAGUUUAUAAAUUUGAUUAACAGUAAAAACUACUUUAAAUACCAAUAACUCUUUUAAUUUCUAAAACAAAAUAUAAUUUAGCCAAUAUAAUAAUUAAUUAUUUUUUAUUUUAAAAUUAAUUUUUUGUUAAUAAUUUUCUUGUAGUGUAUUUUAUUUCAUUGCUAGCAAAAAUAUAUAUUUUUAAGAUAACAAAAUAAUUUUUUACUUUUAUGAUUCAGGUACUUAUUUAAAAUCUCAAAUCUUAUUUUUCUAUCACGUAAGUUUAAAUUAAAAAAAUCCUAAUAAUGAGAGAAAAAGGUUAUUAAACUUUUUUUUAAUUGUAUUUAGAUUCAUAGAUUGGUUGGUUCUGACCUGUGAUGAAGUCAACUCACUCCUACAACUAAUUCUAUAAUCUUCAUCUAAACUGUCCAUCAAGGGACAUAUCUCCCAAAACGAAAGUUCAGUCCUUUUGAAAUCUGUAACAAAAAAUACAUAAAAAAGAAAUGCAACCUCAGCUUUUCAUGAUGAAUAAUUAUAUAAUUACAAUUAAAUAUAAAAAAUGAUUUAAAAAGUUUCAUUAUAGCAAUUUUUUUUUAUCACCCACCAAAACAAAGGAUCGAUUGUUUUCUUUAACCGUUCUUCCUAAUUACAAUUACUAGAGCUUAAAAUUAAAAAAAUUCAGCAAAUAAUAAUUUACUGUGUUUAUUUUAAAAAAUUUAGUAAAUACUUAGUUGGAAAUUUGAAACAGUCCUAUCUGAAUGAAAUAGUUAAUUUGAAAAGAAAUAUAGUAUUUACCUUUAUAAGGAAAAGUUUUCUUGAGCUUCUCCAAAGUAGUUGUUGGAGUCAAAGAUAGUUUUGGACAUUCGUAGACAACACAAUUCUUUAAAUUGGGCAAUUCAAUCUCUUGGUUGAAGUUUGAAAGAUGCGUAAAUAUUAAAACUUUGAUUCUUGGAAGUUCAAUUUUUGUCUUUCCUAUCUCAUCACUUUUUCCUUGUCCACGUCCAACAAACUCUUCUAGUUCAGAGGCUCCACUUAUGAUUAAAAGAUAAAGAUUAGGAAAGUCAUUAGAUGCAGAUCCAGAGAUAAAUCUUUUGAGUUUGUGGCAAUGUCCAACAUACAAUGCUUCUAGUUUUGGGAAGAAUGCCUGAGGAGAAAGAAGAUUAGACAAUUUGUUAUCCUCCACAUCCUCUUCAAUGAUUACUCUUAAUUCUUUGCAUUUUCUUAUCUUCACAAUACUCAACAUUGGUAGGCAUCUUAAAUCAUACUUUGAAAAGAUUACUUCCAAUUUUGCACAUCCAAUAAAUUCUAAUUUUUGAAGAUUUGAGAAGAUAAGAGAAUUGUUUGGAGCUCCUUGUUCACAUCCAACAAUCUGCUUCAAUUCCAUGCAUUCUUUUAUUAUUAGCUCUUUCAACUCUGGUAAGCUUCUUAAAACAGAGGGAGGAAAUAUUACUUUCAAUUUUGCACAUCCUAUUAUUUUUAAUGUAGUAAGAUGUUGGAGAUUAACUGAAUUCUUGGAAGCCACCCAAAUAUAAGUCAUUUGAGGUAUAUUUUCCAAUUUCAAACGCUCUAACCUUAAGCUCACUUGUUGCCCAAUCAUUCCAUCUCCAUUAAGACAAAAAAUACCUUCUACUUCAGAAUUGGUUACAGAUAUAUUUUGCAAAGUGAGAAGAGGGUUAUGAACCCCUUUUGGAUCCUGCAGGACAUUCGUAGGAAAUGAAAAAACUCCAAAAAGAAAACAAAAAAGGAACAAAUAACUAAUAAUCAUAAAAAAAAGACAAGACUACCUUCUUACUUGCGUUGAUAGGUUCUCUUGAAUCUGCAGGAGCCGUCAAGCAAUUAAUAGAAUUAUAAAACGGAUAGGAACAUUUAUAACAAGUAAACUCCUUCAAAGAUGACCACGUCACGGUGAGAUUGUUGGUAGCACAAAUGCUAACAAAAUUUGGUAGAUUAUAAAGAGCGAGCAUUUCCAAUGCUGAGAAAUGAAUAUGAAUCUCCUCACAAUCCUGAUUAGCUACGCAAUAUUGGCCAAACAUAUAUUUCAAUUGCCCACAAUCAAUCACGAUGAGCUCUCUUAAGUUUGGGAAGAUUGCAUUCAAAUUCUCUUUGCCAUAUUCAUCCUCAGUGUCUAUAAUGUGCUCAAGUCCUUGACAUUGCUCGAUUCUCAAGAUUUCCAACAUCAAUAAUGAAGCAACGGACAAUUUAAAAAUGUACUUUACCUUAUCAAAGUCAUUCAUGUUAAUCUCUCUUAUGUUAUGCAUAAUAAGCAAGGUCAAACCAUGUGGUGGUUUUGAAAUAUAUUGAACAUUUUCAAGAGAGGAAAUAGAAUCUGAGUUCGAUAUCUGCAAUACAUACACCAAGUUACUUGUUAAACCAAACUAAUUAGUGUCUUAACUUUAAUUAUUAAUGUAUUUCAUUUCUAACAAAUAAUUGUUUAUGAAAAUAAAUUAUUUUUGUUUAGCACAACAAGAAAAAGUUGAAAAGAGAAUAAUUUCACAAAAGUAAUCUAUUCCAAAUAAUUUAUGUCAAUACUUAGAUAUUAAAAAUUCAUGUGGUAUAGUGCUUGUAAGACCAAGUUUUAUUUUUAGCACAAACAUGAUCGCGCAAUUCAAAUGUUUUGAGUAAUUUUUCUAAAUACAAGAAGAGAGAGACAAAGUAAGUGAUGAUAAUCAUACCUUGAUUGCAAUAUAAUCCUCUUUUCUAGCUUUUGAAGCAUAUGUUGAACAAUUUAUAGUGAAAAACUCAACACAUCUUCCAGUAAUCAAUGAUAGUUUUCCUAAAGAUGGACAUCUUACAUGAUAAUUUCCUAGAAGAGAGUUAUCCAUGAUACGAACAAGUUCGAGUAUUUCUAAAGCAGGAAGCUCAAUUUGAUUAUUAUUUUGUUGUUGCUCACAAAAAUUGUCUUCGAAAUUAUUUUGACUUGAAAGAUCUUUCAAAUUAGAAGCCUCUUUAUUUCCUAUAUCCAUGCCUCCAACAAAAGAGAUAGGGAACAUACAUUGCAACAAGUCACAUUCCCUGAUAUAUAGCGUUUUCAAACUCUGGAAGUUUGAAAUAUCACUCUGAAAGUCAUGGUCAUCCUCGACAAUGUUUUCCUUCUGUUGAUUGAUCCUUUCAUGAGUUACUAUAUGCUUCAAACUAUUGCACCUUUUUAUGAUCAACACUUCCAAAAAAGUCAAGGUCUUAGCUAUAGAUGCUGUAAAAAUUGAGCCUAACUUCGGACAAUCGAUUAUCGUAAGGCUUGCAAGGCUUGAUAAAGUUCCUGGAAAGCAAUUAUAAAUGAGAAAAAUAUCGCUCAACAUAUUAGAGUUCAAUAUAUAUAUAUAUAUAUAUAUAUAUAUAUUAUUUGUGUAAGUUACAUUCUGAUUUUAAAAACAAACGAUCGAUUAAUAAUGAUGAAAAGAAUCAUACAAAACAAUUUUCUUUAAAUAAUUAUAAAUUAUCUAAAAUGUUUUAAAUGCAAAUAUAAUUGUCUUUAAUUUUGAGUAGAGACAAAUUUUGCUCCUAAUGUAUUAACAAGUAGUUGGUUUAAGUAAAACUAGAUUAGUAGUGUCUAAUUUGAACCGCGUGAAUGAAAAAUAACAAAUUAGCAGUUUUCAUCUAACUUGUAAAUAACAUCAACUAAGCAAUAACAUGUAGACUUCUUAAUAUGUACGUGGGCUAUGGUUCAAAAUUGUUGUUAAUGGAGUUGAAGUGCUAUACAAAUGUGGAUGCUUACCUUCCUCAACGAUUUCAACAAGUUCUUCUUUUUUAUCCUGGUAUGUUAAUGGAUCAAUAUCCCCAAAUAUUUGAUCUAACAUGUUGCAUUCUUCUAUCUUGAGCACUUUCAAUUGAGCUAAGCCUCUUAAAACACUGGUCGAGAAUAUAUCUUUUAAUUCUCUACAUCUAUUUACCUCUACUUCCUGAAGAUUUUGGAAGAUUUGUACAGGAUGUCCAGUGGUGAAUUCACCUUGACUUUUCUCCGUUUUCUCAUCAUCUACUAAUAUAUGCUUCAAUCCAUCACAUCUUGUUAUAUUUAAGAUUUUCAAUUGUACCAAAUGUUGAGCAACGACAUAUGUGAAGAGAGAUGUCAACCGUGGACAACCACUUAAAUACAACAUCUUUAAGUUCUCAAAAGGCCCAUUGGCAGGUUGAAAACAAUGCCAUAAAGCUCUUAAAUUUUUCAUGUUUUUCAUUCUGAUCUUAUACAACUUGGAAAAGAGAGUUACCACCUUACUCGAAUGGUUACUUGUGUCAAUCAAACACUCUAUCUCUUCAGAAUUACGUAUAUCAAACUUAAUGAGCUCAUCCAAACCUCCUCCUUCAAUUUGAUAUAUAUCUGGGAUGAUAUUUUUUGCGUCUCCCUUAAUGUUGGCUAUAAAUAGAUCAUUUGCUCUUUUUGCCAAACUCUUAACUACCUCAUUUGAUAUGUCAAAAUAGUCAAGUAAUAAAGUAUUGUGAUGAGAGCUAAAUUCUUUAUAAAUACAAUUAUCAAAAUUACGGGAUCCUAAUACAAUUGCAUACCUUUGCAGUGUUUGGGGAACACUAAACAUGUUAAAGAAUUCAAUAUUGUCUUCAUUGUUAGCAUCCCAUUCUCCUUCAAUAUCGACAAUGUACAACUCUUCUAGUAGAUGGGUUCUUUUUAUCACUUCAAACUUCUUCCCUUUUAUGUAACAUUUGUACAACUCUAACAAUUUUAAGGUUGCAACAUUGGUUUGUAAUUCAGGAAAUGAAGGCAAUGCACAACCACGCAGUGAAAGACUUUGAAGUUUCUUCAUAUCGCUUACAAAUGAGAAGUCACUCAAUUCAUAAUGAGAAAUAACUAGACAACGAAGAUUUGUUAAUGUUUUUAAAGACAUUGUUGACAAUGGUGUUUUUCCAUCCUUAUCAUUGACUAGCAUCAAAACUUUGAGCCUUCCCAUUCUUUUGAAAAUUCCAUCCAAUUCUUCUAGUUUUGUCUUUAAGAAUAAAAACUCAAGAAUGGAACAAUCCAAAUCAUUUGGAAAUUUCUCACACCAUAGAUAUCUUACUGAAUUUUGUUCGACAAUCACAUCUUUUUUCACUUCGCACUUGAUGAUAUUGUUCUCAUUCUUUGCUAUCAAGUGGGCCACAUCGCGAACUAUGUCAUGCAUUUUGACAUAUUCACCCUCUUCAUUCUUUUUAUCCAACAAUAAACAAGAACUAACGAGCUUAAAUCUUGCUGCAAACACUUCAUUCCUUGCCUCCUCAUAAGAUUGUGUUUCUCCAACUACACCUAAUCCUAUAGCAUAUCUAGUUAAAACUUCAACUGGAAUUUCAUAAUCUUCAGGGAACACAGCACACAAUAGGAAAAGUGAUUUAGCUUCUUUAGUAUCCAAAUUAUCAUAGCUCAGCUGCAAGCACUUGUAGGGAUCAAUCAAACCUCUUUCAAUAUUUAUUGGCUCAGAACUUCUCAACUUAUUCAAUGCAUUACUCCAUAUCGGUAGAGCCUUUCCCUUCAAACUACUAGCAACAGCUGCAAUUGCAACAGGUAAUCCUUUACAUUCAUUGGAAAUUAAUCUUCCCAAAUCCUUUAAGGCAUCAGAGGUGCCUUCAGAUAUAAGUGCUUUCUUUUGGAAAAGAGUCCACGCUUCUUCAUCCGUUAAAAUUUGCAGGUAAAUCUUUCUUUGACAAUCCAUUGAAGUACAAACCUCUUCUGAUCUAGUGGUUAUGAGAAUCUUGC
rnacentral:lncRNA from 1 species